CGGGCGCCUCUAUCCCGAAACCCUAGCAAGUUAGUGCAGCCGCCUCCAUCUCUCCCGAUCAUUCCCCACCCCGUCCAAACCCAAUCCACAUGUUCCAACCGCCAUCAUCCCCACUUCGGAUCCAGAAGGCAGGCCAUGGCGGCGGCUAGAUCCGUGCCGAGACAGGAUCUGCAUGAGCAGUUUGCGGUCGGAUGGCCUGGUCGGCCGGCGAUGGAUGCCGGCGACAGAGGUCUCCUCUCCAUGGAUCUUUGAUGGAGCGGGUGCUUAUUUUCCUCUCCACAGAUCAAGGUGCCUCCUCACUCCCAUCCCUCCUCUCCCUACGAUUCAUUUCGUUCUCCUCACGCCAUGUUCCUCUUUUUAUGUUCGUGCUGCAGGCAUAUCCACUGGAUCCAUGCACUCAGUGAUUCCCGAGGAGAACGCGUCCACGGCGGAGGAAGACCGGCGGAACAUGCGCGGGCUUGUCCGGCGGGAGGCGGAGGAAGACCUCCUCGAGGAGCUCGUCUGGCAGCGACGGUGCCGUCGUCGAUGGCGGCGGCAGCGGUGCCAUUGAGGCUAGGGUUUCUGGUGGUGUGGGGGAUUCAUCGGAGGAGAAAGGAGCCUCGCUCACGGAUUCUUCUCGGUUCAACCAGCGAACGCUCCGACAGGUGCGGCCACAGCGGCAGUGAGAGUGGGUUGCUCCUGUUGUUACCCUGUUUUGUGUAGGUCGGCCUAUUCUUCGUGGCCCAGCUUUCAGAUUUUGACAUGCUUCACACACUCACACUGUCACACACACAUUGCAGCAUAAGCAUGACACGAUUCUUGCACCUGCUUGCGACUUUGAGAUGAUUUGCCAAAAUUAUAGUCAACACAUGGUUGUAUUAUAACCGAUGAGUUAGGUCUACUGCCAUAGGUUCGCUUUCCUAAUUGCAGAUGUACAUGCAUAAACGGCUCCAUUACUAUGAUAUAGUAAUAGUUUGAGUGAGAUGACAAAUAUUUUAUCAUGGUUAAAUUCGAUGUUCCUUGCAUAACAGCUAUGCUCAUCUUCUUGACGUCAUCGGUUACACAAACAAAAAAAAUUGUUACUCCGAUAUGGAUACAUCAUGUGUCAUAUACCAGUAAAAAGUGUAUCUCUAAGUAAGUAUAUUUGCCCAAAGUAUACAUGUGCAGUUAUCAUGCAGUUGAUGCAAAAUGUUAGAUAAAUAAAAACAUUGCUGGCUUACUUACCUAUUGACUUGCUUUCUUGCUUUGUGCCACAACAUUUCAGUGCAACCUACUGAGUUAUAUUUGACUUGCUGCUACUACUAUGGUUUGCUGGUAAUUAGGAGUAUUUGUAUUAUUCAGUGCCAAAAUGUAAGUAGGAGUAUUUGUAUUAUUAAGUACUAGUAUCCAAUGUGAAGAAAUUAUACUCAGUGUUGGUCUACUACUAUGGUUUGCUGGUAAUUAAAGAUCUAUCUAGGUACUUUCUGCGUGGGUCAUGCAUGCUCUGUACUUUCUUUGUUAGUAUUACCAAAUCCAUUAUUCAUAACAGCCCCCUCGUAGGCAACUUAUGCCUUUUUUGUAGUACUACACACUCAUUUACACAUGUUUGAUGUUUCCAUCCAGGGACCCGAAAGAGCACACAAGAAAAAGCGCUCGCCCAAUCAAACAACACAGGUCUAUAUUGUAGGUUUCUCUCGUGAUGAUGGCAUCGCCUCUACUGUGUCCGCCAAUAUUUCAAUCGCAUGUGUAGGAGGAGAAGGCUUGAUGCGCCGUCGCACUGACUCUAGCGCCCAUGGAUCCGGCUACCUGCUCAUCUGAGGCAAGCACCAAGGCUUCGUAAUUUAACUUAGUAUGAUUGAUAACGUAAGGAUGUUUCUCUCUUUGUAGUAUUUAGAAUAGUUGUCAGCUAGCUAUCACUAUCUUUGUUCGCUCUAUUAGUUAUAUUUCUACACUGAUUGGCAACUUAGUCCCCCCUAGCACAAUAUGUGAAAUAGAUCAAGCAAAGUUUCAGACUUGUCAGAAAAGAAAUUAUGGUAGUAAAAUUUGCGCAUAUCAUUACAUUUUGUUUUCUGUUUCAUAUUUUGGCAUCCAUGAAAUAUUUCCGCAACAUUCAGACUGGAUUGUAGGGGAGAACAAACUUGUCACAUUCACACUGAUUAUGUUAUGUUGUAUAUAAAUGCGGUCUAGAUUGUAAAAACUUACGUGAAUAUACCUAAAUGGUUGAGAUGAUGUUAUAGAAUUUAAACAUUUUUACUAACCUUGAGAAUGGAUAGAAAAUGUUAUUUGUUAUUUGUCAAAAUAAAUAAAUUAGAUGACUUGAUUGUUUUUUCCUCAAUAAAUUAGAUGACAUGAUUGUUUUACUAACGAUGUGCAUCCGCUGCGGCCGCCGCACCUUCCACCUGUAGAAGAGCACCUGCUCCUCGUGCGGCUACCCCGCCGCCCACAUCCGCAAGUGUAAGUCCAUCCCACCCCCAGAUCCCGCGAUUACUCUACGCAUAUGUGAAUCAACCUUGCGAAUCCGCAUGUAUUUCACCUCCACUUCUGGCUGCUCUCCUCUUCUGUACACUCACACAUCAAGGCUCUCGCCUGUUUGAAAAAAUGCCCUGAAGAAAUCAUGAACGAGUUAGAUUCUUUCUUCUAAUCCAUCGCUUUGGAUAUUCUUGAUCAACGGGAUGUCUGAGCAAUGUAAGUAUUUUUUUAGGAUGUAUAAAAUCUGCAUGUAUGAUGAUUAUGUACAAUAUACGUAGCUUCCUUUAAAGAAAAUAUCUAGAUUUGGCCCACAUGUUAUUACUGUUUGAAUUGUUACUAGAGACGCAUAAUAAAAUUUGAGGGAGUACUUGUUAUUACUAUUUGAAUCUGAGGGAGUACUUGUUAUUACUAUUUGAAUCUGAGGGAGUACUUGUUAUUACUGCUUUAGGAUGUAUAAAAUAUCUAUGUACAAUCUGAGGGAGUACUUGUAAUUACUGUUUGAAUUGUUACUAGAGAAGCAGCACAAAAUUUGGCCCACAUGUUUCUUUAUGCUCUGAAUGUUUAGCAGUUUUGAACCUUUAGCUAAGCCACUUCUUUGAUAUUAAGUGUAUUGCAUGAGCACUUGUACUUGCUGAUUUUAAGCAUCUUCUUAUCUGAAAGAAAAUAUCAGUAGCCCCUUGCUUUCUUUCCUUUUACAGUUUGAAAAUUAGGAUUACAUUCAAAUUUUAAACUGAUACAAUAUGGGUAAACAAUGAACAGACCUUGUCACGUGGGCAGGUUAAUUAGUUUGUUUGUGUAUAGUUACCAGAGCGGUAUAUGUUUUUGGUAGGAUGUGAAUGUGUAGGAGUUUGGAACCUUCAAGCUACUGUUUUGGGGUUAAGCACAUGUCAUGUAUCAGUUUAGUGCUACUUUGGUGUCAGUCUUUGAUUAGACAUGGCAUGCUCUGUCCAGUAUUUGUUGGUUGUAAGGAUUAGCUUCGCUCUGCUUUGGAAUGCCUGAUAUUAGAUGUCACGUGGUUGCAAAAAUAUCUUUGUCUGAGCUUUCUAUGCAGAUAUUGCUCUACUUAUUUGAUUUACACACUACUUCUCUAGCAUCCUAGAUAAUCCUAGAUGUUCAGUAAACUAACAAUGUUUUCUCUCUUCUAUGAGAUGCACUUCCUUGCAUCAUUCCAGAAAGCACAGGAGGAGAAGCUAUUCUUACUUAGAAUCUGAUACUGAAUCAGAAGUGACAGUGAUCGUAAACACAGGAAGAGGAAGGACCGCAAAAGGCACAUGAAACAUGGCCACUCUGACUCUGAUGGUGCCAGGAGGCGCAAGCAUAGGUCAAAGAGGAGGUAUUCACACUCUAGUGAUGAGAGUGACAGCGAUAACUACAGUAGUGAAUCUAAAGAAAAUAUACAUUGUAUUGUAUAUGCUACUGAAAUAAAAUAUACAUUUUCUUUGCAAUCAAUAGAUGACUAUGCAGGAUGACGUAUUGUAUUUGAUGUGAUUUGCUACUGAAAUAAAAUAUACAUUUUAUUUGCAAUCUUUUAUUAUGUUUUACUUAUUUUUAAUGGGCCUAUCAUGAGAUAUGUGUGCUUCUAGGAAAAAAAAUGUUCAACCCAAACACAUCAGACAUUUUCAAUAGUAAAAUAGGUAUUGGGCCAGGCCCAUGUAGCUAGAUUGGUGGACAGGGAUCUGAAAUUUAUGAUGAUUCCAUUUGGUCACUAGCAAUGCCACGUCAGCUUGGCCACGUCAGAUCCUAUGUGGCUCACACAAAUGGGUAAGGACCAAACCAAAAUUUUGGUAGAUAGAGACCCGCGACCAAAAUUUUAGAAAGGGUCAUGUUUGUUCAUUCUUGACGGUCAACUGUUGAUGUUGUAAAUUUGGUCAAAAAAGGUCAAUAAACGACAACAAUGACGAAUCAAUGACCAAUAUAGGGAGUUAUAAUUAACUUUAUUUCUUGUAGUGAACUCUCUCGCAUAAUAUGCAUGGGUAAACAGAUUCCUUGCAUUUUUCUGAUCAUUUUUCAUAUAUAAUUUAUUUUGAUUGGAGUUAUAUAUUAAUUUCUAUGAUUUUUAGAAGUUUUAAGCAUUUUCGGGAAUUUAAUAAAUCCAGAAAUCAAAUAUUUCGUCACCUCUACGUCAGAGUGACGUCAGCAGUCAACAGGGCCAGCCCAAGUCAAACCUGACCAGCGGGACCCACGGGUCAGUGAACCAUUGAGUUAACAGAGGUUAUUUUCUCUUGAUUUAAACAUUUCUAGUUAGUUAAGCUUGCGGGACCCACUGUCACCAUCUAGGGUGGGGGUAGUUAGUGGCGUCCUUAGAAACUUAAUGGGCCUGCCACGUCGGCACGCUAGAGUGCGGUCGACGGCGACCAUUCCAUAUGGCGGAGCACACCCGAUCUGCGCUACUCGCAUUGGGUUAGUGUGCUGAGGGCACCAGGGCGUAGCCCUCGUCCUCCCGCAUCCAACAGACCAACUAGGGCCUCGGAGAAUGGCCAGAGUCACUGGCUGCAACGACGGAGGCGGCGGCCGGAGCUCGGUGGUUGCACGCGUCAACGCUGGGGUGUGCUAGCGAGCAGGCUAGGGGUCCGGGAGGCAUCUACGGAGCAGCAGGAACCCACCGUUGCAACUAGGUCGAGCCGAAGUGCACCAGUGCAUGGAGCUUGUCGUACAUGGCGAACGGUGGUGCUUGGAAUUCACAAGGAUGACGGCUACAACACAGAGCGAGCAGGGGAGGAGGGGGAAGAACAUGGAGGGGCUCAGUGUCAAUCCUAUGGCGUCGAGAGCGAGCUCGGGGAUGACCGGACGGAGCGAAUCGACGACGACGGUCGUUGGAGACCGAGGUUGAAGACGACGAUGAUGGCGAAGCUACAGGCCUCUCUCGAUCGUGUGUUUCGUCUUGGAGCUCCAAGACUUCGAGGCGGUUCCGUUGGACACGACAGAAGGGCGUGGGGUGGCUGGUGGCUACACGAACGGCGGCGGCUUCGGCAUGGAAAAGGGGAAGAGACAGAGCGAGGGGAAAGGGACGAGAGGGAAUCAGUAGGUCGGCACGUCUGCCACGAAGCUAUCCAUCUCAUCACGCUAGCGGGGAGGGGGCGGCAGGCUGGUGCAUGGCGCGUUGAGCACACGCGUGCAUCGGGCACACGCCCAUCGUCAUUCUGGCACAUUGGAGAAGAUGACUAACGAGUUGGGCGUGGUGGGCUCGCUGUCCAAUGGGCCGCCAGGUAAGCACGAGAAUAGUCCUCUCUAUUUUCUGUUUGUUUUUGUCAUUUUAUUUAUUUAUUUGUAUUCUGUUUUGAUUUGAUUCAAAAACCAAAUCAUUUGAAAACCUUCUGAAUAUAUUUAUCUCGCUUAUUGGAAUAUAUUCAAAGCCACUUGCAACCUUUCACAAUUUUCGGAUCUAUAAAACUAUUUAUAGUACUUAUAGAUCCNNNNNNNNNNNNNNNNNNNNNNNNNNNNNNNNNNNNNNNNNNNNNNNNNNNNNNNNNNNNNNNNNNNNNNNNNNNNNNNNNNNNNNNNNNNNNNNNNNNNNNNNNNNNNNNNNNNNNNNNNNNNNNNNNNNNNNNNNNNNNNNNCAAUUCUUAAUCUAGGGUUGUGACAACUCACACCCAUUAAACAAGAAUCUCGUCCCAAGAUUCAGGCAUAGGGUAAGAGGAAAGAGUGGAUAGUGGCUACCACAAUCUUCACGAUCCAAUUGUCCUUCUCGCAUAUGUUGAUUCAUUGCAUCAUGUUGAUCUUGACAUCUUUGUCUUUGAGGCAUUCAUCUAAGCACCACGACAAAAGGAAACAGAAAGCUCUACGGAAUUCAAUCUUCAUGAAGAUCGAACAACUCAUGAGCAACUCAUAGAAUGAGACGUAAGAACGUCCCUUGAGCUGAGACACAAAACACAUAACAGGAAUGAGGAAAUGAGGCAUAUGAAAGAGGUUCAAUUGGUAGGAAACAAUUCCAUGCUUAAAAUAGAUGAUAACAAGGUUUCAAAGUAGCGAGGAGUUAAACUGCCCUUCAUACCAUAACGGGGCACCUUAGGAGGGUGACUCGUAGGGUUAUUCCAUUAAGUGGAAAAAAUAAUUAGUUUUGAUAUAGAGAUCAUCGAAACUCAUCAUGCUAGCCUAAGGCAAUUCACAACGACCGUUUGAAGGAUUUCUAAAGAAUGGCAUACUCAGAUUGAAGAAGAAACUAUGGUUAUAAGGCAUCUCGGCCAAUGGAAGGCACAUUGCAAUUGAUAUCGAUGGUAUAACCCAGCUUGUGAGCAUACUCUCAAGAACUUUAGCAUUUCAACAUUCAUGAGGGUCUUACCAACAUCCAUUCCAAGAUCUUUGUGACACUUCAUACUACCAUGACGAAUAACAAUUGAGGAUGCACAUGCAAAGGAAGACAACACUUUCUCAUAUUUCAUCCUAGCGAUGCCAGGAAAACGAAAUUUGGAUGAUCGACCGCGAGACACUUAGCACUCCGCUUCUAAUGGUCUCCUUGAAGUACUAGCAUAUUCCAAUUAUAGAUAAUACUUGGUAUCUAGGACGUCAAGUAAAGGUCGGAUUUCGGGAGCUUCAAAGAUCCAUGAGGAACUACUUCUAUAAUAAGUCAUGAAGAAUCCUCAUGGGGAAGUAGCUAAUGUUGCUGAUAUAAGAUAUUAUAAUGAUAAGUCUUCUGGCUAGGUGUGUUAGUGUAACGACAAAGAUGCGGUCCUUUCCGAUCUGGGGAUCGAGGCCCUGAAUAGGAAAGAAGCGCAUCUAAGCGUUUCGCAAACAGGUAACACAACACAUACAUAAUAAUAAAGAUAGACAAUCUGGGAUUCAAUUGUCUUCUCAUAAAUAUCUCAGAGUACAUCACACAUGCAACCAAGAUAGUUCCGCUACGAACUACAAAACAUAGAAAGGCUAUGCUACCCUGCCUGCAGGCCCACGAUCACGACCACGCCUCAAUCUUCUAGAUAGUUCACGUAAAGGCGGCCUGUCUCCUCAUCGUACUGCCAUGCCAGCUGAGUGCCGUCGGGAUCAUCUGUUUCUGGGGUACCUGUACCUGUUGGGAUUUUGGAGGAAUCCGUGAGCCACGGGGACUCAGCAAUCUAAGACCUUGGUGCCAGAACUAGUCAAGUUAUUAGGUAGGGUAAGGGGAAGUGUUUAAGGUUGCAGCAUCCUAAGCUUGAUUUAGUGGCUAACUUACGUAGAACAUGAAUGAAAGUGGACUAUACUAGCGGUUGUGAAUACUUGAUCACUAUGUGAUCCUGAACACCUACCUACAUCAUUCAUAACCCCACCGUGUUCCCGAUCGAAGAGAGAUCUUCGAGGGGACAGUCACGGUUACGCACACAGUUGGCAAUUUUAUUAGCUUAAGUUUAAGUUAUCUAAUACCAGAUGUUAACAAAAUAUUCCAAGUUGCCACAUAACCGCGGGCACGGAUUUUCGAAAGAUUAAACCCUGCAGGGGUGCUCCAACUAGUCCAUCACAAACGUACACAUGCCGCAAAGUAAUCCUCUAUCACGAAUCUCGUGAUCUCGUCGGAUUCCUUAGAGGAAAAUCUCAACUCUGGGGGAAGCCAAAGUUUCACUGGGAUUCAUAUACACAAGAUAUAUCGCUAAGGUAAGGCAAGACUAGCAGGACCUCCCGACGUGUCGACGACCCUGAUAAGAGCCGCGUAUCUCAGUCUCAGGACACGCCAGAUGAGCUACGCGCACGAUGGCCUGAUAGAAAUCACUCAAGUUGCCCUGAGUUGGCCUCGAGCAGUGCCCAGUUUGGACCAACACUCAUGAGGAGCACUGGCUCGGGUUGUAGAUUAAAAUCCUCGGGGUAGCUAUUCCCUAUGCAGUUUAUUAUGAAGUGAUUAGCAAAUUAACACCAAUGUUGGGUCCUGCCGGACAAGCCUUAGCACUACGCGAUUUAUAAAGGGGGCCCCCAUAACAACCCCGAACGUGUUAGGAGCGAUCAUUAAGGAAUCAAACACCAGUAACCGGUAACUAAGGCGGCAAUAACAGGACAAAGCACCCAGCAAAAGGCUAGGCCUUCCGUCAUUUACCAAGUAUAUAGGUGCAUUAAUUAAAUAACAGAAUUUAAGAUAAUGAUAUCAAGCUCAUGUUAUCACAUGAGUCAAGGCACCUGCAUCUAGCAACGCUAACAUUAGUAGCUGAGCAAAGCCUACUUAGCCAUUCAAGUUUUGCUAGGAAGGGAUCAGUGUAUGGGUUCAUGGCAUAUCAGGAGGCAAUUUAAUUCAGUGGUAGGCGGCGAGCAAUAUGACAUGAAAACGCAAACUAGCAUAACAAGUCUAGAGAUGGAAUCAAGGUCAUAUCAUCUUGCCUGUGAUAUCCUCAGCUUGGAAUGGUUCUUGAUCGUCCUGCACAUACUCUCCCGAAUCCACGUACUCCUUCUCUGAUCCCGGUGCUACCCAACAUAAGAAUAAUAUCCAAUGAACAACAUCACCUCAAGAUGCAACAAGCACAUGAUGCAUGAGAUGAAAAAUGAGCAUGCAUCACUAUUUCUAUCACUAGCACAAGCAAAAGAAGCUACUACAAGUUUCUGGACAGAACUGUACCCUAAGCUAUUUUUACAUGCAUGAUAAUGACAAGAUCAGAUGCGUCCCGUUAAAACGAUGCAAAACCAUAUAAAGAACAUUACAAGCGGAGCUACGGAUCAACGGGAAUCAACGAAACAAGAUAUGAAGCCCUACGUGUCAAAAUCUUCACCACACACUCAAAUGGCACAAAUCUGGUCUUCCCAGGUUGCCAAGACAUAUAACAACCCAACAUGAAUGGAUUGGAGCAAGAAAGAACACCACAACAUCAACUAAGCACUCACAAACAUCAAAAUGACGAUACUACACAAUACGCCAUAAUCUGUAUCUUAGCACUUUGUGAGCUACAUGCAACAUAGCUAUAACCCUCCAAAUGUGACAAAUAAUAUACGUGGCUGUAGCCAACCAAUAAUACUACAAGCACAAGAAAGAAUCACGCCAAAAGGAAAUAAACACAGGAAGACACAAGGCUGCAAACUUUCCCAAAACCAUCAGAUCUCAGGGUCUUAGUGAAAAUUCCUGCACCUGACUUUCUAUCUUUGUUCUGAAGCUUUUUGACAGCAGCCAAAACAUAACCUACAUGACUCCAAAUGGGAUGAAAUUUAACAGGGAGCUUCCCAAACAUAUCAGGUCCAAAUUCCUAGGACUAAACUAAGGCUAGAGCACAACGCAAUGACCAGCACAACCUCAUCUAUAGGAGAAGAAAAUAUUUCCAGAUUCUCAGACUUGGUGAAAUUCCAGAUUUCACUAAGCUGGAAUUUCCAGCCACAUGCCCACUUUGUUUAGGCUUAACUUGCACACAAGUAACACCAAGAGUUAAAUGACAACACUAUGGUGUAGAGCAAAAUCCCUACUACUACCACACAAAAGCUCAUGCCCUUGGGCUCCACCUAUUCCAUGGAAAUAAAGAGUAAACUUGCAACACAUCUGAAUAUGUUAACUCCAGAAAGUAUCCUAAUGGUAAAACUAACUUCAUCACUGGAUUCCUUGGGAGAUACUACCCCAAAAUCAUAUAUAAUAUGUGGGCACUUACUUGGAACAAGUGACCACAAAUUAAGGAAGAGGGAACUACUCCAAAUCAUGCCUAGUGAAUAGUGCAUCCUUUCUUGUAGUUUCACUAUAUCAACUACUACAUGGUUGAGCUCAUGUGCACAAUGACAAAGUGCCAUGAGGGUUUGGGCCCCAUGUCUUGCGUCAUGCACAACAACACCACAAUCACUACUACUACCACAUAUAUCUUACACACACCUCAUGCCCUCUUUCAUAUGCACAUGAGGAGGAGCACAAGUGUUGCAAAGUGGGGCUGUUUUCACCACAUGCAUAUCAUCAACUCAUAUGCAUGUCAUCUAGUAGAAACCCACACCACCUACUCAUGUCAUCUAACACAUGCAUAUGGAAAUCACACACACAUGCACCUCUCACAAGCACCCAAACAUACACCACAUCACCUUCCACUACUAUACAACACAAGCAAGGAGAUAAAAUGCCAAUCUCAACUAAAGUGAUAAGCACAAGACUAUAAGCACAUGCAUCUACAACUCUACUAAGUGCAUAUUCACACACACAAGUGCAUCACCACUUAUUCACAAGCCACCAACAAAUGAACAUACUUGUAGAUUAAGAGAGGAGGUAGCACAAACAUCUAAGUGCACAAGAAAAAUAAGUACCUAGCUACAAAGAACAAGGCUGCAAGGUGGUGAACAGCAAAGGAAAAAGAAAUGCAGAGGACAAGGGAAAAAAUAAAAGGGAGGUACUGGGGGUCGAACCCCAGACCUGCUUCUCGAGCACACACAGGCACAAGGCAGCUACCACUCUGCUACAGCUUCUGAUCUGACCAGAGAGAGGGUUCUCUUCGGGUAUGCUUAACCUGCCUGCUACUUGCCGAAGAAAAUAAACGAGAAAAAGGGGUUGCCGAGGGGAGGGAUCGAACCCACGCCCUCCUACAGGCAACAUGCGCCACUACUACUACCACUACGCUACGGAACGAUGACUGAACAGAGAAAGGGCACUAAUCCUACUGAACCUGCCCUCGAAGAUACACAGGGGAGCCGCGGCGGCCGGAAAAGGGGAGCUGUCCCGCCGGCGACAUAGCUCAAAUCGAGCAACGACUCGUGGAAGGGAGGACCCAUACGCACCCACGAGUCCAAUCCCGGUGCUAAUUCCGCCCGAGACGUAUCACAAUAGCCUAGCUACGGUGCGCGGCGGCACCGACGACAGGGAAGCGGCCCGCCGACGAUCUACUGCUCCUACCGAAGAUCUACUGCAAGGAAGGGGUAGGAAAUGGAUCUGCUCACCCAAGGGAAGAAGAACUCGGCCACGACGGAGAGGAAGCAGGGGAGGCAGUAGUGGUCGCCGCUCGGGUCUGCUCGUCGGGGAGGGAUGUCACCGCCCUGGAGAAGGAGAAGCAGGGCGCUCGCGUCGUCCUAGCCACGGGGAUGGAAUCGUGGAUGACCCCGCGUGCUCGCUGAGACGUUGAAGGGGAAGAAGGGACCCGGACGCGGCGGCGAGGAGCAACUCAACCUACUGCCAUGGCGGAGGGGCUCUACCUUACGUGACUCGGAUCUUCAGAGAGCGAGGUGGAGAGGGGAAAGGAGGUGGUGGUGCGAGAGAGGGAAACCUAACUGCACAGACGCCAAGGGGGGGGUCCCUUUUAUGGAGGAGAGGGGCGAGGAACGUGCCUCGACGUCCGUGACACCGUCAGGUCGCCGUUGCCUGAACCAGAGGGAGAGGGACACUGACGGAAGGAGGAGAUGACAGGGACGCUGUCUACAGGGAAGCCACACGCGAGAGAGGGGAGCUGGGCCUGCUAGUGGGAGGAGGCCCACUAGUUGGCUCCAGAUAGGAGAGGAGAAAAACCUGAGGGGUUUUUCUAAUUAAAACAAACAGGGAAAAGGAUGUAAAUCACAGACAAAUCUGUUGGGAUUAAAAACAAAACAUAAAUGCCCCUAGUCAUAAGAAAUUAUGACCUAAUUGAAUAAAAUAGAAAAGAAAUAUCUGGAGCAAUUAAAUAUUUACAAAACAGAAUUUGUUGGGUCUGUUUUGUGAAUAGUUGCACCCUUAAAACUAAGUUACAAAACAACAAAACCACAUCUUGACAUCCACCACAAAAUAUACUAAAUCAUGGGCAUUUUUGAAUCAAGGUUGGGACAAGUGAAUAUUGGCUUGAGAUAUAAAAGACAGAGAGAGGUUUGCAAAUAUGACAAGCCCACUUCAUUUAGAAUUAGUCACUCACACAUGAAAUCAUAGAGCACCCCAACACAUGCACAACAUCACAAAGUAGCUAACCACAAGAUUACCACACCACAAGAAAUGCUAAGAUCAUAUAACACAACACAAGACAAGGCAAACAAUGAUAUUCUAUGCAUGCAUGCAUGGGAAGGAAGGAAAGAAAUACAAGGGACAUCACAAGAACUCAUGGCACAAAUGAUAUCAUCAUAUCUCUGACAAGGUGGACCCACUUGCAUUAGGUUCCAAAUAGGGAAGGUUUACACUUGGGGCACUACAAACUCUCCCACACUACAAAGAAGAUCUCGCCCUCGAGAUCUAGGACUGAAAGAAAUCGGUAAAUUCGGAACGGAGGUGAUCCUCGCGUUCCCACGUAGCCUCUUUAUCUGAAUGGUGAGACCAUUGCACUUUGAGAAAUUCGACAGUCUUGUUACGGGUCUUGCGCUCAGUCACCUCGAGAACCGCAAUUGUAUGCUCACGAUAAGAAAGGUCAGGCUGAAGGUCGAUAUCUUGAAGAUGAACAGUGCGCUCGGGGCUCUUGAAACACCUCCGAAGCUGAGAAGCAUGGAACACAUCAUGGACAUUUGCAAAGGUUGACGGAAGCUCGAGCUGGUACGCAAGGUCGCCUCUCUUGCCAACCACUCUGAACGGACCAACGAAAUGAGGCGCAAGCUUGCCUUUGAUGCCAAAGCGUUGCAUAACCUUCAUAGGCGACACCUUGAGAUAGACAAAGUCAUCAAGCUCAUAAGACAUGUCAUGGUGCUUGCUAUCGUAAUAGCUCUUCUCACGGGACUGAGCUGCUCUGAGGUUGUCGCGAAUGAUCCGACACAUCUCCUCAGCUUCUUCUAUCAUAUCAUUCCCAAGGAUCUGACGCUCGCCCGUCUCGGACCAGUUGAGCGGAGUACGACAGUUUCUACCAUAGAGAAUCUGAAACGGAGCCUUGCCAGAACUAGCUUGAUAACUGUUGUUAUACGAGAACUCCGCGAAAGGCAGACAAUCUUCCCACUUCAUGCCAAAAGAGAUAACACAGGCUCUCAGCAUAUCCUCAAGAACUUGAUUCACUCGCUCCACUUGACCACUAGUAUGAGGAUGGAACGCUGUGCUGAAGCGGAUCUUCGUGCCCAUAGCAAACUGAAAAGAGUCCCAGAACUUGGAAGUGAAGAUACUUCCGCGAUCUGAAGAGAUCAUCAUAGGCACGCCGUGCAAAGAGACAAUCCUGGAGGUGUACAACUCUGCCAGCUGAGCUGCUGAAAUGGACUCCUUGACUGGAAGAAAAUGAGCCACUUUACUCAACUUGUCGAUGACGACGAAGAUAGCAUCAUUGCCCUUCUUGGAAUUCGGAAACCCGGUGAUGAAAUCCAUCUUAAUGUGAUCAAACUUCCACUCGGGAAUCGGCAAAGGCUGCAAGAGGCCUGCUGGGCGUUGAUGUUCUGCUUUCACUCUUCGACAUACAUCACACUCGUUUACGAACUGAGCAAUCUCACGUUUCAUACGAGUCCACCAGAAUGUCUACUUCAAGUCAUGGUACAUUUUGGAGCUACCAGGAUGAAUAGAGAGGAGAGAGUUAUGAGCUUCUUCCAUGAUCAUCUUCCUGAGAUCACCUUUCGGGACGACAAGGCGAUCCUCGAAAAACAACGUGUCCCUGGCAUCAAAAGUGAAGCACUUAUACUUGGGAAGACUCUUUCCCACGCCAAUCUUGACCUUCUUCACCAUAGUGUCAAGAAGCUGAGCAGCUCUGACCUGAUCUUCCAAGGUAGGAGAGAUCUGAAGGUUCGCAAGAAAUCCCUGAGGUACUAGAUGAAGGUUGAGCUUCUUGAAAGACCCACAAAGACCCGGCUGGAGAGGUCGCAGAAUCAGACUGUUGCAAUAUGCCUUCCUGCUCAAUGCAUCUGCCACAACAUUUGCCUUGCCUGGCGUGUACUCAACACUCGAAUUAAAAUCCUGGAGCAUUUCCACCCAACGUGUUUGCCGAAGAUUCAAGUUAGGCUGAGUGAAGAUGUACUUGAGACUCUUGUGAUUGGUGAAAACUUCAACCUUACAUCCCAACAAGAGAUGUCUCCAAGUCAUCAAGGCGUGUACAACAGCUGCUAGCUCGAGAUCGUGCACAGGAUAGUUCUUCUCCGCUAACUUCAACUGCCUGGAGGUAUAAGCCACCACCUUCUUAUCUUGCAUCAAAACUGCACCAACACCCUGGAGAGAAGCGUUGCAAAAGACCUGGUACGGCUUGGAAUCAUCCGGAGGAGCCAAGACCAGAGUGGAGAUAAGCUUAUCUUUGAGUGUAUCGAAGGCCAGUUGACACUCUGGAGACCAAGCAUACUUAACACCCUUCUGAAGAAGACUAGAGAACGGCUUGGCGAUCUUGGAGAAGUUCUCAACGAAUCUUCUGCAAUAUCCAGCAAGCUCGAGAAAGCUUCGAAGCUGCUUCACAUUCUGCGGAGGCUCCCAUUCAACAAUGGCUUGAACCUUGGACGGAUCAACCUUAAUGCCCUCGGCAGAUAUAAUAUGCCCAAGAUAAACCACUUCUUUCAGCCAGAACUCGCACUAGGAAAACUUAGCAUACAACUUGUACUCUCUCAGCUUAUCGAGCACCAAUCUGAGAUGUUUUUCAUGUUCUUGCUCAGUCUUAGAAAAGACCAGAAUGUCAUUGAGAUAGAGCAAGACAAAUUCAUUCUUGUAUGGGGAGAAAAUAUAGUUCAUCAAUUGAAAAAAUGUCGGAGGAGCAUUUUCCAGACCAAAAGACAUGACCGUAUACUCAUACGAGCCAAAACUAGUCCUGAAGGCCGUCUUCGGAAUGUCUUCCUCGCGAAUGCGAAUUUGAUGAUAGCCCAUUCUGAGAUCAAGCUUGGAGAAUACUUUAGCACCUUUCAACUGUUCGAACAACUCAGUUAUGUUCGGAAGUGGAUAUUUGUUCUUGAUUGUCUUCUUGUUCAAUGGACGGUAAUCCACACAUAGCCGGUCCGAGCCAUCCUUCUUCUUGACAAAUAGAACACCACAGCCCCACGAAGACGAGCUCGGUCUGAUCAAACCCAAACGCUCGUGCUCAUCGAGUUGCCUCUUAAGUUCCUUCAAUUCUUCUGGACCCAGCUUGUACGGCCGUUUGCACACUGGCUCUGUGCCUGGCUCAAGCUCAAUGACAAACUCAACUUCACGGUGCGGAGGCAUGCCUGGCAGCUCUUCAGGAAACACAUCUUGAUAUUCGCAGACCACUGGAACUUGCUCAAUAGGAUUGAUCUCACCCUUUUCAUUCAAGGAGAACAGACAGAUUGUAUCAUCGCGCGCCGCGAAUAUAAUCACGUCUUCCGAAGAGUGGAUAAGCUUCACUUCUUUGGCUUCACAAUCAAUUGACGCCUUGUUCAUGGCCAACCAGUCCAUACCAAGAAUCAAGUCGAUGUCAGAAUUGCCCAAGACAAUAGGAGAUGCCAGAAAAGCAUAAGCGCCCAUCUUGACAGAAACAUCCGGAAUGAUCACAUUAGAGCUCAACAACGCUCCCGGGGAAACCACACAAAAAGGUUUGUCCAAGGUCUUAGAAAUGAAAUCAUGAUUCCAUGCAAAUGGUCUAGACAUGAAUGAAUGAGAAGCACUAGAAUCAAAUAACACUUUAGCAGGAAUAUCAUUGACGAGGAGGUUACCCAUGAUCACAUGAGACGAGUUCUCUGCUUCAGUUGCGUUCACCAUGUUGACUCGAGCUGAUCUGGGGUUGAAUUUUACAAGAGUGUUGCUUGGAGGUUUGCCUGGAGGAGGAGGAGGUGGCAGACGGAGCUGAGAAGUACAUUUGUUGGCAUAGUGACCCUUCUGCCCACAUUUGUGACAAGUGACAUCUGCUGGCUGCCGGUACUGAGUCUGAGGAGGCCCUUGCUUCUGAUGCUGGUAUCUCUACUGGAAGCCAGGGUUGGGUGGGUGGGAAGAACCACGACCACCUGAGUGCUUAAGCUGCUGUGAGUGCCGAGGAGGAGGAGGAGAAACCCAAAACCUCUAUUGCUUCUGUACCACCUCAGUCGAGGAAGAGCUGGAAUCUCUGAAGCGCUUCUUGGAGUUUUCCACCCUGAGCAAGGUUGCCUCUGUUCUGAGAGCUAGGUUGUAGAACUUCUCAAACUCCUCAGGAUCGUGCAAGGCAAGAGCUAACUCCAAGUCUUCCUUCAAGCCACCACCGAACUGGUAGAUCUUGCUCUUCUGAUCCGGGAUAUCCUGCAGCGCAUAACGGGCCAGCCCGUGGAACUCGACAUUGUACUUGUACACAGAAUUGCCGCCCUGCUUCAAAUGCCUGAACUUCUCACGCAUCUCCUCUACAAAACUGGAAGGGAUGUAGUGGGACCUGAAGUCACGACAAAACUCGUCCCAGGACAUCACCCUGGCUCCUCUGGAGUCCUUGAGCUGCUGCCACCAUAUAGAAGCCUGUCCCUUCAACUGAAACAUAGCAAACUUGACAUAGUCCUCCGGACGCACAUUGCUACACUCGAAAUGUUUGUUCAUAUCAUGGAUCCAAUCUUCUGCAUCAAAUGGUUAGUCGCAAGAAGUGAACGUCUUGGGUUGAUUCGACAGGAACUGACUCAGAUUGGCGAAGUGAUUGCCACCCUGCUAGAAAUUGCCCUGCUGUUGAUUGGCUCUCUCCUGGAUCAACUGUAACAGCAUCUGAGUGUUUGCAUUAGUAGCAGCCAUGACCGCUUGCCAUGCCUCAGCAGGAUGAGGUGGCGGCGACGGGUUCUCCGGAGGAGGAGGUGGCGGCAGCACAUCCUCACGCCCUGGGUUCUGACGAGUUGGUGGAGCCAUCCUGAAGACGGACAUCAUAUUAGUCCACAAAAUAAAUUGAAGAUAUUGCUGAAUCAAAAGACAGGAAUAUCUGAACAGAAUUUAGCAUUGCACUCGAACAACAUAGCAAGAAUGCAUCAUCAAAGUGACGGAUGACAAACUCCGAUAAGGACCACUGCAAACAAGUGUGAGCUAGAACUGCUCAGAACAAACAUAUGACCGAGAUUCCCAAGCCUCAAUCAAGCGUCUGUAGGAAGAUAGUCCUAUAAGAUACUACUUGAAAUCCCACCUAUGAAUUCCCGAAAUAACUGGUCAUGCAAUCUGGUACACGGAUACAAGGAGUAUUUCACACAACUCCUAAACUAACCCGUCACCUGUAUCACAUCCUUCAACACACAACCAGCAUCUUGGACCUUCAUCUACAAUAGAUCCUCGUGAUCACAACAAUACCAAGUGUGGUAGUACCCCCGAACAAUCCGCACCAGUACUGGGGACAUAGGGGUUAUCUCACCACUACCCGUAUUGAAGCAAUAACGAACACCCUUCAUUCUUAGAUACUCAGAAAUCUGAAUGAUGGCGAUGUGCGCAAGAAUCCCCCGGAGCUCAACUCCCCUGAGACUUAGAGCAGAUAGGAGGCACCAGGACAGGAUUCCGUCACAUCGAAAUCAUAUAGAUUUCACAAAUACCCGCGUGAUCCUAAAAAAACUUUUGAGCGAGAAAAGGAGUAGAGUUAAAGAUUUCCUAAGCCGGGAACCUCACCAGAGCAUAGAAGAGGAGAAAAAAGAAUCCUAACCUCCAAUAUAACUAAGACUCAAAACAUUUUCUAGACUCGACUCGGCCAAGUACGAUCACACAAAGGCUCAUAUGGUCGUAAGGCUCUGAUUACCAACUUGUAACGACCAAGAUGCGGUCCUUUCCGAUCUGGGGAUCGAGGCCCCGAAUAGGAAAGAAGGGCAUCUAAGCGUUUCGCAAACAGGUAACACAACACAUACAUAAUAAUAAAGAUAGACAAUCAGGGAUUCAAUUGCCUUCUCAUAAAUAGCAACACUCAUGAGGAGCACUGGCCCGGGUUGUAGAUUAAAAUCCUUGGGGUAGCUAUUCCCUCUGCAGUUUAUUAUUAAGUGAUUAGCAAAUUAACACCAAUGUUGGGUCCUGCCGGACAAGCCUUAGCACUACGCGAUUUAUCAAGGGGGUCCCCAUAACAACCCCGAACGUGUUAGGAGCGAUCAUUAAGGAAUCAAACACCGGUAACCGGUAACUAAGGCGGCAAUAAAGGAAGAAAGCACCCGGCAAAAGUCUAGGACUUCCGUCAUUUACCAAGUAUAUAGGUGCAUUAAUUAAAUAACAGAAUUUAAGAUAAUGAUAUCAAGCUCAUGUUAUCACAUGAGUCAAGGCACUUGCAUCUAGCAACGCUAACAAUAGUAGCUGAGCAAAGCCUACUUAGCCAUUCAAGUUUUGCUAGGAAGGGAUCAGUGUAUGGGUUCAUGGCAUAUCAGGAGGCAAUUUAAUUCAGUGGUAGGCAGCAAGCAAUAUGACAUGGAAACGCAAACUAGCAUAACAAGUCUAGAGAUGGAAUCAAGGUCAUAUCAUCUUGCAUGUGAUAUCCUCAGCUUGGAAUGGUUCUUGAUCGUCCUGCACGUACUCUCCCGACUCGACGUACUCGUUCUCCGAUCCCGGUGCUACCCAACAUAAGAAAAGCAUCCAAUGCACAACAGCACCUCAAGAUGCAACAAGCAGAUGAUGCAUGAGAUGAAAAAUGAGCAUGCAUCACUAUUUCUAUCACUAGCACAAGCAAAAGAAGCUACUACAAGUUUCUGGACAGAACUGUACCCUAAGCUAUUUUUACAUGCAUGAUAAUGACAAGAUCAGAUGCGUCCCGUUAAAACGAUGCAAAACCAUAUAAAGAACAUUACAAGCGGAGCUACGGAUCAACGGGAAUCAACGAAACAAGAUAUGAAGCCCUACGUGUCAAAAUCUUCACCACACACUCAAAUGGCACAAAUCUGGUCUUCCGAGGUUGCCAAGACAUAUAACAACCCAACAUGAAUGGAUUGGAGCAAGGAAGAACACCACAACAUCAACUAAUCACUCUCAAACAUCAAAAUGACGAUACUACACAAUCUGCCAUAAUCUGCAUCUUAGCACUUUGUGAGCUACAUGCAACAUAGCUACAGCCCUCCAAAUGUGACAAAUAAUAUAUGUGGCUGUAACCAACCAAGAAUACUACAAGCACAAGCAAGAAUCACGCCAAAAGGAAUUAAACACAGGAAGGCACAAGGCUGCAAACUUUCCCAAAACCAUCAGAUCUCACGGACUUUGUGAAAAUUCCUGCACCUGACUUUCUGUCUUUGUUCUGAAGCUUUUUGACAGCAGCCAAAACAUAACCUACAGAACUCUAAAUGGGAUGAAAUUUAACAGGGAGCUUCACAAACAUAUCAGGUCCAAAUUCCUAGAACUAAACUAAGGCUAGAUCACAACACAGUGACUAGCACUACCUCAUCUACAGGAGAAGAAAAUAUUUCCAGAUUCUCAGACUUGGUGAAAUUCCAGAUUUCACUAAGCUGGAAUUUCCAGCCACAUGCCCACUUUGUUUAGGCUUAACUUGCACACAAGUAACACUAAGAGUUAAAUGACAUCACUAUGGUGUAGAGCAAAAUCCCUACUACUACCAUACAAAAGCUCAUGCCCUUGGGCUCCACCUAUUCCAUGGAAACAAAGAGUAAACUUGCAACACAUCUGAAUAUGUUAACUCCGGAAAGUAUCCUAAUGGUAAAACUAACUUCACCAAUGGAUUCCUUGGGAUAUUCUACCCCAAAAUCAUAUAUAAUAUGUGGGCACUUACUUGGAACAAGUGACCACAAAUUAAGGAAGACAGAACUACUCCAAAUCAUGCCUUGUGAAUAGUGCAUCCUUUCUUGUAGUUUCACUAUAUCAACUACUACAUGGUUGAGCUCAUGUGCACAAUGACAAAGUGACAUGAGGGUUUGGACCCCAUGUCUUGGGUCAUGCACAACAACACCACAAUCACUACUACUACCACAUAUAUCUUACACACACCUCAUGCCCUCUUUCAUAUGCACAUGAGGAGGAGCACAAGUGUUGCAAAGUGGGGCUGUUUUCACCACAUGCAUAUCAUCAACUCAUAUGCAUAUCAUCUAGUAGAAACCCACACCACCUACACAUGCUAGCAACACAAAGAAUUCUAACACAUGCAUAUGGCAAUCACACACACAUGCACCUCUCACAAGUACCCAAACAUACACCACAUCACCUUCCACUACUAUACAGCACAAGCAAGGAGAUAAAAUGCCAAUCUCAACUAAAGUGAUAAGCACAAGACUAUAAGCACAUGCAUCUACAACUCUACUAAGUGCAUAUUCACACACACAAGUGGAUCAACACUUAUUCACAAGCCACCAACAAAUGAACAUACUUGCAGAUUAAGAGAGGAGGUAGCACAAACAUCUAAGUGCACAAGAAAAAUAAGUAUCUAGCUACAAAGAACAAGGCUGCAAGGUGGUGAACAGAAAAGGAAAAAAUAAAUGCACAGGACAAGGGAAAAAAAUAAAAGGGAGGUACUGGGGUCGAACCCUAGACCUGCUUCUCGAGCACACACAUGCACAAGGCAGCUACCACUCUGCUACAACUUCUGAUCUGACCAGAGAGGGGGUUCUCUCCGGGUAUGCUUAACCUGCCUGCUACUGUGUCGAAGAAAAUAAACGAGAAAAAAGGGGUUGCCGAGGGGAGGGAUCGAACUCACACCCUCCUACAGGCAACAUGCGCCACUACUACUACCACUACGCUACGGAACGAUGACUGAACAGAGAAAGGGCACUAAUCCUACUGAACCUGCCCUCGAAGAUACACAGGGGAGCCGCAGCGGCCAGAACAGGGGAUAUGUCCCGCCGGCGACAUAGCUCAAAUCGAGCAACGGCUCGUGGAAGGGAGGACCCCUACGGACCCACGAGUCCAAUCCAUGUGCUAAUUCCGCCUGAGACGUAUCACUGCAGCCUAGCUACGGUGCACGGCGACGCCGGCAACAGGGAAGCGGCCCGCCGAUGAUCUGCUGCUCCUACCGAAGAUCUACUGCAAGGAAGGGGGUAGGAAAUGGAUCUGCUCACCCAAGGGAAGAAGAACUCGACCGCGACGGAGAGGAAGCAGGGGAGGCAGUGGUGGUCGCCGCUCGGGUCUGCUCGUCGGGGCGGGAUGUCGCCGCCGUGGAGAAGGAGAAGUAGGGCACUCGCGUCGUCCUAGCUACAGGUAUGGAAUCGUGGAUGACCCCGCGUGCUCGCCGAGACGUUGGAGGGGAAGAAGGGACCUGGACGCGGCGGCGAGGAGCAACUCAACCUACUGCCAUGGCGGAGGGGCUCUACCUUACCUGACGCGGAUCUUCAUGGAGCGAGGUGGAGAGCGGAAAGGAGGUGGCGGCGUGAGAGAGGGAAACCUAACUGCACAGACGCCAAGGGGGGUCCCUUUUAUGGAGGAGAGGGCCGAGGAACGUGCCUCGACGUCGGUGACGCCGUCAGGUCGCCGUUGCCUGAACCAGAGGGAGAGGAACACUGACGGAGGGAGGAGACGAUAGGAACGCCGUCUACAGGGAAGCCACGCGCGAGAGAGGGGAGCUGGGCCUGCUAGUGGGAGGAGGCCCACUAGUUGGCGCCAGAUAGGAGAGGAGAAAAACCUGAGGGGUUUUUCUAAUUAAAACAAACAGGGAAAAGGAUGUAAAUCACACACAAAUCUGUUGGGGUUAAAAACAAAACAAAAAUGCCCCUAGUCAUAAGAAAUUAUGACCUAAUUGAAUAAAAUAGAAAAGAAAUAUCUGGAGCUAUUAAAUAUUUACAAAACAGAAUUUGUUGGGUCUGUUUUGUGAAUAGUUGCACCCUGAAAACUAAGUUACAAAACAACAAAAACACAUCUUGACAUCCACCACAAAAUAUACUAAAUCAUGGGCAUUUUUGAAUCAAGGUUGGUACAAGUGAAUAUUGUCUUGAGAUAUAAAAGAGAGAGAGAGAGGUUUGCAAAUAUGACAAGCCCACUUCAUUUAGAAUUAGUCACUCACACAUGGAAUCAUAGAGCACCCCAACACAUGCACAACAUCACAAAGUAGCUAACCACAAGAUCACCACACCACAAGAAAUGCUAAGAUCAUAUAACACAACACAAGACAAGGAAAACAAUGAUAUGCUAUGCAUGCAUGCAUGGGAAGGAAGGAAAGAAAUACAAGGGACAUCACAAGAACUCAUGGCACAAAUAAUAUCAUCAUAUCUCUGACAAGGUGGACCCACUUGCAUUAGGUUCCAAAUAGGGAAGGUUUACACUUGGGGCACUACAGUUAGCCACGACAUCACUUUACCAGGUUACAAAGAGACCAAUAUAAUAAUCCUUGGGAAGCAUUCCAACCAUCAUAUCUGCGUGAAAUUCAGAUCUUAUUGGAGACACGAUGUUUCAAACUCAGCAUGUCUGAUAAGAAAGUUUGCAACACAAAUCGACGAGAUAACAUUGCGAGAUUCUCAUGAGAUGAACUACGAAAGCCAACUCCAAAACAUGAGCUGGAUUGCAAGACCCAUGUGAACACACUGCCCAAGGCAAUGAUGACCACAUGGAAAGUCUUACAACAAAGCACUACCAAGUUCUAGGUGGAAACCAUCAUUGUGGAUAACAAAGCCAUGUGCAAGUCCGUCUGUGGCAUUCGGGGAUAACACUUAACUUCUUUUCCUUGAACAAAUCAAUCAGCGGCUUGGUGUGCUAGGAAUUACAUAUGGAGUGGAGAUGAUCACUCUAUCAAAUCAUAGAAUACUUCGCACGUGCGUGACUGACUUGGGAUGAUUCCAGAGGAAGCAAAAUAACUUCUCUCGAAUUCACAACGGCAACUUGCAUCAAAUGCACAUGAAUUAAAGGAAGUCACUUCUUACACCUAACAUAUACUUCAUGUACGGAACACGAAGAUAUUGCUUACAAAAGUUUCCAAAACUAGCUUGAUGUUCAACAAAUCAUGGAGAGGAUAAACAAUGUUAUCGAUGAGCUCAACAACAGUUCCUCAAGGAUUCCAUAUAUAAAGGAAAUUCCACUACUAUGUGAACAAUGUGGUAGUAUUGGUCAGACCCGAAGAUGUAAUGGUGUAUGCUCGAGGAAAUAUCCAUGAGUAAAAUAACAUUAAGAAUAUCUUUGGUUUUGAUUUUGAUUUGACGAUAGACCACACUCAAAUCAAAGAUUGGACAAGACGAUAGGUGCAACAAUUGACCACAAGAAUCAAUCGAUGAGAAUAUCAUCUUUCUUCAACACACACAAUCACACACAAGAUAACCCUUUAAAAUGAACUAAGUUAGGCAAAGCUUUUAUCUUCCAACUCUCCAAGUUGUUGUUUAGCUUAAUGUGACGCCCCGGUAGUUAAGCUAGAGUAACCACACACUAAUGGUGCCACGUCAUCGAGUUUAACUAAGUUGAAUUUCCACUCGAUAAAAACCAAAAGUAAAAUAAAUUAUUUCUUCAAACUAUAAAACAAAAAUCAUGAUUGGGUUGAAGAUAUUCCCUAAGUAAUUGUCAAUGUGAAGCCAACAUUUUAUCAUAUCUUUAUUUGCCUCUAAAUAAUUAAAACCGAGGCCAUAACUAUUAUUUAAGUGCCUUUUAAAAUAUAGAAAUUCCUAACUACUUUAUUCAAUCCUCAAACUUUUUGUGGCACUGCCUCAGUCGCAAUAAGAAUAAUGAACCAAGAUACAAAAAUUGCAAAAGUAUUUUGGUAUUAAAAAUGAAACUAAGACAGAAACUAUUUUGAAAACAAAACACAAAAGUUCUUUUAAAAAAAACAAAUUAGAACUCCCUCCCCCUCACUCGGCCUUGGCCUAUCUCGCUGGCCAGGUUGGCAUAUUCCCCCCUUUCCCCCUGGUCGUCCCAACUCCUCCCUGGGGUAUAAAACCACAGGAACCCUAGGAGCCACUCGACCCCCACUCUCUGCCUCUCCCCCCACCGAGCCCACCCCCGUGGCAGCUAUUCCCUCAUCCCACUCGAUCGGCCGAGCUGGCAAUCCCCAAGGAGCCAUCGGCCCGCUCUGGCACCACCGCUAGCUGGCGCCACUCCGACCUNNNNNNNNNNNNNNNNNNNNNNNNNNNNNNNNNNNNNNNNNNNNNNNNNNNNNNNNNNNNNNNNNNNNNNNNNNNNNNNNNNNNNNNNNNNNNNNNNNNNNNNNNNNNNNNNNNNNNNNNNNNNNNNNNNNNNNNNNNNNNNNNNNNNNNNNNNNNNNNNNNNNNNNNNNNNNNNNNNNNNNNNNNNNNNNNNNNNNNNNNNNNNNNNNNNNNNNNNNNNNNNNNNNNNNNNNNNNNNNNNNNNNNNNNNNNNNNNNNNNNNNNNNNNNNNNNNNNNNNNNNNNNNNNNNNNNNNNNNNNNNNNNNNNNNNNNNNNNNNNNNNNNNNNNNNNNNNNNNNNNNNNNNNNNNNNNNNNNNNNNNNNNNNNNNNNNNNNNNNNNNNNNNNNNNNNNNNNNNNNNNNNNNNNNNNNNNNNNNNNNNNNNNNNNNNNNNNNNNNNNNNNNNNNNNNNNNNNNNNNNNNNNNNNNNNNNNNNNNNNNNNNNNNNNNNNNNNNNNNNNNNNNNNNNNNNNNNNNNNNNNNNNNNNNNNNNNNNNNNNNNNNNNNNNNNNNNNNNNNNNNNNNNNNNNNNNNNNNNNNNNNNNNNNNNNNNNNNNNNNNNNNNNNNNNNNNNNNNNNNNNNNNNNNNNNNNNNNNNNNNNNNNNNNNNNNNNNNNNNNNNNNNNNNNNNNNNNNNNNNNNNNNNNNNNNNNNNNNNNNNNNNNNNNNNAGUUUAAUUAAUUUGUUGUUAGUUUAAAUAACCUAUGACAUGUGGGACGAGCCCCAAUUAAAACUAACUAAAAUUGUUUAAGUAAACCUGUUAAUUAGUUUAGUUUAAUUAGAGUAUGACAGGUGGGUCCCACACACCUAAUUAAACGUGUUUAUUAAUUAGUUUAACUUGAAAUUAAAAUGUGGCAAUGAAAGUAGGGCCCACUGAUUAAAUUGACCAGUCAACCAACUGUUGACUCUUGAUGUCAAAGUGACAUCAUGCUGAUGUCAUAACUAUUUAAUGAAUUAAAACAAAUCUAUUUAUUUUCUGAAUAUUAAUUAAACUUUAAAAAUUAAUUUAAAAUAAACCGUAAGCAAGAUGAAAAUAAUUUGAACAUGAAAGUUGAUUAGCAGAACAAGACGAACCCGGAUACGCUAUCCGUUCGUCUGUCACGCGUCCCUAGCAUAGCGAACAUGGAACUUCUUCAUCCGUUUCGCGUGAUCGGUAGUAGCCACAGACCUAGGAAAUAUCAUCUGAUAUUUUUCCGAUCCGUCUAUGAUGAAUGUUACUUCAUUAGCUCAUGCCUAGACCUCCAUAUUGCCAUGUCAUGAAUAGCGAUUGCAUCUGCGUUUAUAUUUACUGUUUCUUUCCCCCUCUUCGUACCGGUAGACCGUAAGUCUUACGCUGCUGCCGGGUACGAGUACCCUCCUGACGACCAGCCCUUUGCCGCCGAGCAGCAAGGCAAGCAACCCCCCCCCUUGAUCAUCCCUAUAUCGCAUAUUUCUUUCUCCCUCAUGCUUGCAUUAGAAUUUUUCUACUGUUGUAGAUAGAUCCUAUUCUGAUGCAUAGCCUGUUUUUGAUGAACUACUACUUUACUGUACCACAAGCUAAACUGUUUAGUAUAGGUGGAGCAGUCAUCCCCUUUGCCCCCUUAGUCCAGUUGCCCCCGCUUUAUCGUCAAGUCUCGAUCCCUGAUCGACGAGCCAAGAACCGACACAGCACUUACACCCCCCCCUUAGUUGUACGACGCUGCAGAGCUACUAUCUGGUACCGAGGGUGACACCUCGCGAAGUACUCAUGAUGCUAUCUCUUAGUGCAGCUAGUCGGUCGUGGUUAUCAUGGGUGAUUCCUCCUUCACCACUCCUGGCGAUGACUCUGUCAUGCAACCCCCAAGUGUGAGACCCUCGAGAGUGAUUCCUCUAAGCCCACCUUGACGAUUGCAUCAUUCGGAAUCCAAUGACGGUGAUAUCUCGGAUUCCCCCUGAUGUUACAACCACACAGUUACUUGAUCGUGUUACUAGGACUUUGAUGAAUAAGUUGGUGGGUGGAUUCCCGCGUGGAUGUGUCGAUGAGUUAAUUAAAAUGUUAAUGGAUUUGGGUUUUUGAUCUGGGUUGGUCGGAGACCUUUUCGCACUAACCGGCUACGCGGGAGAAGUUAUGGGUACUCGGCGUCGUGGUAUCAGCCGAAGCUCUUCAGACGUCAGCAAUGGAGCGAUGCACGCCCGAGUGGUCUGGAUUAUCACCGUUCUUGUAUAAGAGGUGCCAGGACUGACAUCGGCUGCCAACGCAAUGUGCACGAGUGCAAAUGGUGAUCGGCCCAUGACCCCUGUGCACUUAGGAUUUAGACUAGUGGGCUGGCCUCUCUGUUGAGUCUAGGUGGGGCUGCGACGUGUCGAUGUUCCGAGGUUGGGCAUGACCUAGGAAAGUGUGUCCGACCAGAAUUUAUCGAGCGCGACGGGAAACUAGGUGCACCCCUCCACGGAUGAAAAUUAACUAUUCGAAUAGUCGUGUCCAUGGUUAGAGGACGAGUUGGAGUUGUGCCCCGAUCUUAUACAACUACAACUGUUACUUAACUAGAAUGUUUGCUCCGGGACUGCUUCCUCGCAGGGAGUCGAGGAAGGAUCUUUGGGCGUGACUUUAAUUAAUAUUGCUACAACAAUAUGAUUACUAAUUGUGUUACUUGCUCUACUCUCGUCUAUUGCUGCAAGACGCUGAAGAUGCUAGUCUUCGAGAGCACUAAGCCUUCUCUCUCUUUUCUCACAUUGUUGUUGUCAGUCCACAUAACCCCUUCCUUUGAUACUGAUGCAUACUUAGCAUAGUUGUGAUGUCAGUCUUACGAUUACUUUGGAUGAGUACUAACCGUUGCUUUGCUCCCCCUUUUCGCCUUGAUUUGUUGCAGUGAACAGAUCCUGGAGCCCAGGAGAUGGCAUAUCCCGCCGACGAUGCCUGCUACCCCCGGAUGGUGCCUACUACGUGGAGGCCGCUGAAGACCAGGAGUAGUUAGGAGGUUCCCAGGAAGGAGGCCUCGCCUCGUUCGACCAUUGUAUAUUUUGUGCUAGCCUUCUCUAAGGCACCUAAUGUUUCAUGUCUGUACUCAGAUAUUUGUUGAUUCCGCUGACUCGUGUGUUUAUCGAGCUUCCGUAUUCUAGCCCUCGAGGCCCCUAGUUUGUAAUAUGAAGCUUGUAUGUUUUAUUUGUGUCUAGAGUUGUGUUGUGAUAUCUUCCCGUGAGUCCUUGAGCUUGGUCGUACGCAUUUGCGUGUAUGAUUAGCGUACAAUCAAAUCGAGGGCGUCAAAAGUUGGUAUGAGAGCCAACUGCCUGUAGGUAGCCCCCUUUCCAACUCCUUGGCCGAAGUUGAGUCUAGUACUUGAAAAACUUUACUAACAUUGUUGUGUGGCUUACGGGCCCACAUCUCAAUCGAGUGGUAUUAGUAUCUUUUACUCCUCUUCUAUACUCUCGAUUCUGAUCUCUCUUCUCUUUCACGUUAAAGUUUUUUCUAACUCUAACUUUAUAUUCUCGUAAAUACUUCCUCCCAGAGAUCCCCGUAUUCUAGACGAUAGCUUGAUUCAUUCGAAGACCCUGAAGAUACUCUCCGAUGUUCUCUCGAGAACUUGUGAUCAUCGGUUUUGCGAUUUCCCUUCCUCCUUCAACCCCUAUGGAUCACUACAUACAAAUGCAGUUCAUACUUUCUUUUCCAAUUGCUCUUGUUUUUACGAGAUGCAACAAAUUAUCUUAUCGGGGAUUCAUUCGUCCUGAGUUGUCAUGGGUUUCGUAAGUCCUUCGAAUUACUAUUUGAUCUUCCAAAAUCCUCAGUGGUGUAUUUUUCUUGACCUUCCUCACCUACUUGCGUUAUGGUUAAUUCCAUGUGUGUAGCAACCAUCAUUUGAAUCCUUUGUGAUUGUCCUUAGGUUUUAUUGAUUCAACCUGUGUGUGAAUGCACGCAAUCAUCUAUUGAUUCUCAUAAAUUAUCUUUCCAGCUCAGAGGUCCUUCCAGACAUGAGUUGGUUCUCGGCAAAUCAACCUUGGUUGAUUGUCCAUCUAAGUCCUUUCAACUUGCUUGUAUUUGAUCGAAGCAUCUGAUUCUGAUACACCAACCUGGAAAUCACAAUUCCUUUGGUAUUGAAGCAUCAUAAUUAAUCAGAUGUUCUAUAAUCCAAUGCCUUGCCUUCUAUCUCCCUCCGAUUGAGUAUCGAUACUCACAUCACGUCCUUUGUGGACUUCCAGACCCAUUGUUGGGUUAUUAUCCGACGGCAUCCUUUACAUUCGAAAAUUCUUGUGAAAUUGUUCCCCAGAUACAUGAUGCCAUUGGUAAAUUGUGUCUUGUCUCUUUGAUAAGUUGUAUCCUGUGCUUUUGUGAGCCAUGCUGAUCAAGCAUGUGUUAAUUAUUCUUGAAGUUUGUGGUAUAUGUUCGGAAGAUGCCCCGACGGGUUGAACCUAUGCCUUCCUAAACAAUAUGAUCCAAAGAGUUUUGACGAGUCUUACUCUUCUGGUGAUUGGCCAGAUAAUCUUUCCAAGGUACAACAUCAUCAAAGGUGAGGAGUAAAUGGCAGGAGAUGCAUUGAUGAAGUGGGAGUCAACCUUGAACUUGUGUUCAUGCCCAUGGAAACAACAUUGAUCAUAUCAGAGAAAGUUCUCGUAUCAAGAAUCAUUCGUUGUAUGAUUUGAUCUUGCAUCUGUGAUUUGGUACUUUGCAACUGUGGUUCCGACCAUGAUUGUUCUUCUUUGAUCCCAUGUGUAGACAAAUUAAAGCACAUGUCUUCUUCAGAGCAAUACAUCGGUCCAAGCCUUAAUGUUGAUCUACCUCCGAGUAUUAUCCCUCGUAUCCUGAGAAUCACGGAGCUACAUAACUUCUUGUGAGCUCCUCAUCAACUAUGAUGUUUCGUUGACUCCAGUUUCCACGUGUUUUGAGUUGAUGGACACACAAGUACACUAAUAACUGAAUGAGUAUGCAUUGAUAUUCAACAACUUUUAGUAAUCUUCCUUGUUUACGAGUUUGUACUUGAUCUUGUCACUCCAAGCUGUUAAGCUACAUCAUCGUCAUCAUGCUAAAACUUGACCAUGCUAUCUAUGUCCUCCAUCCCUAGAACACAUUUCCAACUGUGCGUUAAGCUCACAUCGAGCUUUGAACAUCUUGUUGGUUGUCUUGAAAGACAAUUUCGAUUCGGAGCUGGCAAUCUUAUCCAUGGUUCCAACAACCUUUCGCUUCUUCAUUCCAUUCUUGAUGUCAUUGCUGAAUGAUUACAUCUUCAUGUAACUUCUUGACAAAUGUGUCGUGAUCAUCAUCAGCAUUCUGAACUCUUCAAGGGUAUCAAUCAGAUUCUUGAUGAUAAGGACUAUCCUUGCCUCUCAAUGAUUGGUGUUAUCAUCGGUAAACCCUUUUGCCUUCCCUCCAACACAAACUUGUUCAUGUUUGUGUUGUCCCUUAAGUUCCUGACUAUUCGGCUUAUGUUAUCUUCUACCUUGGAAUAUUACUAUCUUUUAUGUCAAUAAUGUCGUGAGGGUUGCACACGUCUUAAGAAUUAUUUAUAUAGUGAUACUUCUCACCAUCACCAUACAUUUCUUGGUCCCCAUGUUGUUUCUAGCCGGAAUACUGACAAGUGGACUCUGGUGUGUGAUUCCAAUACUUCUAGCAGCCCUAUUGCUUCGGAGUUAAUAACUAAUUGUUUCAUUAUUAAGGCUCGUCACUUUAGCAUAGGUCGUGCUACUCAGUCCAUAUUUUUGAAUGCACCCUUCAAACAAUACUUAAUUGUUGUUGUUCCCUCGAGCAUACAACAUUAUACCAUUUGAUUUGACAAAUGAUAUCUCCUUGAUAUUAUAAUUUUGGAAAAUCAUCCCUAUCAAAAUGUUGAGGGAUUGUUGUUGAGCCCAUCAGCCACACCCUCAAUUUCUCCUUGUUCGACGAUGAAGCUCAUGAAGGAUAUGUUUGCUAAAAGAAGUGUUUUCCAUGAAUUCACGUGCAUUCUUGCCACCGUGAAUAUAUGAAAGUUUUGUUUCGCUUCCUCUAGGAUCAUCCCAAUUCAUUCACGCAUGUGUGAAGUGUUAUAUGUUUUGAAGAUUUGUUGUCUUCACUUCAUAUAACUUCUCUUAGCACCCCAAGUCACUAACUGAUUUAAUCCAGGAAAAGAAGUUCCUUCAUAAGAGCUAAUCCAUGAUUACACCUGGAAUUUUGAUAUCCUCAAUGAUGGUUCCGAAAUCAGAACUCGGUUGCAUUUCAUGGUAAAAAUUCCAUGUGGGCACGAAUGUCUUGACAUUGUGUUCACGUGUCUUACAAUCCAACUCAUGAUCCAAUACCUGCUUCCGUAGUUCAUAUCUCAAGGAUCUUGCAACACUAUCUUGUCGAUUUUGGUUGUCCCCUUUUCGUCCCAGACAUCUUGAGCAUGAGGCAUCCUAACAUCAGUCGGAUCUGAAUCUCGGGCAGAUAUGAUGGUUGGAACAUUUCCCAGUAAUCAUAACUUUGCUCUUUAUGCAAACUGGUACGAUGUUGUCUUUCCCAGCACACCUGGCCGAAGGACCUAUUGUUAUAUUGUCUUCCGUAUGUAAGGUUAAGCAUUCUCCCUUAAGGAAGUUGUAAGACUUAAUUGAUAAGUUGAUGCGGAUGGAUCCCUUGUGUACCCAAAGUACGACUUUUACCCCAUGACCAUGUCGAUGCUACCUCGAAGCACGAUUGUGGUACUUCAAAUGCCUACAGGAACAUUGAACACGCAGUGCUAAAAUGUUCUUGACCAAUUAUCCAAACAUCAUCGUAUGGGUAAACAUCAUGAUUCUCCUUACCCUUUUAUCAAAACGGUUAUGUACUUGAUGACUUGUCAUGUAUACCAUACUCUAUUUUCCUCGGGAAUGGUAUACUUUAGUACUUGUGUGUGUGAACCCAUUUUCCUUUCCAUUGGUCUAUUUGACGUGACAAACACCUUUUCCUUCCCAUUGGUCCGUUUAAACCUUCUUGAUUCUGAACUUAUCUAAGCAGUGGUAAUUCCCUGCUUAGGUAAAAACCUCGAUGUACAACUCUGGGAGUAAGACCAUGUUACUAUUGUGUAUAACAUUCCGGUAGCCGCCGAUGGACGAGACCCUUGCCUAUUGGUCCGCCUCGUUUCAACAAGCAGGAAAAUAGUUCUAUUCGUCCCCCGCCCUUGGUACCGACUUUGUUGCCAACAUAACUGACAGGUUAUCCUUUGACAGAUCUUGCAAUCAAGACCGUGCAAGGUGUAACCAAUUUUCCUAUUCUUAACCCACAUGUUGGACCCAUAAACCAAGUUCCACAGGAUCGAAACCUGACUCUCAUGUACAUCUUUUGACUCCAAAGUAUCCUUUGCACUUGGGUUCGUAUGAAAUUCCUAACCCCUUCGCCUCAGAUCCAUAAGGCAAGCAACCCCCCCUGAUCAUCCCUAUAUCUCAUAUUUCUUUCUCCCUCAUGCUUGCAUUAGAAUUUUGCUACUCUUGUAGAUAGAUCAUAUUCUGAUGCAUAGCCUGUUUUUGAUGAACUGCUACUUUACUGUACCACAAUCUAAACUGUUUAGUAUAGGUGGAGCAGUCAUCCCCUUUGCCUCCUUAGUCUAGUUGCCCCCACUUUAUCGUCAAAUCUCAAUCCCUGAUCAACAAGCCAAGAACCGACACAGCACUUACACCCCCUUAGUUGUACGAUGUUGCAGAGCUACUAUCAGGUACCGAGGGUGACACCUCGUGAAGUACUCAUGAUGUUAUCUCUGUAGUGCACCUAGUCGGUCGUGGUUAUCGAGGGUGAUUCCUCCUUCACCACUCCCGACGAUGACUCUAUCGUGCAACCCCUCAAGUGUGAGACCCUCGAGGGUCAUUCCUCUGAGUCCACCUUGACAGUUACAUCGUUCAGAAUCCAACGAGGGUGAUACGUCGGAUUCCCCCUAAUGUUACAACCACAUAGUUACUUGACCGUGUUACUGGGGACAUCGAUGAAUAAUGUAGGCGGGUGGAUUCCUGCGUGGAUGUGUUGAUGAGUUAAUUAAAAUGUUAAUGGAUUUGGGUAUUUGAUCUGGGUUAGUCAGAGACCUUUUUGCACUAACCGACUACACGGGAGAAGUUAUGGGUACUCGCAUGUGGUAUCAACCGAAGCUUUUCAGACGUCACCAAUGGAGCAGCACAUGCCCGAGUGGUCUGGAUUUGCACCAUUCUUGUAUAGAGGUGCCAGGACUGACAUCGGCUGCCCACGCAACAUGUUGGAGUGCAAAGGGUGAUGGGCCCAUGACCUCUGCGCGCUUAGGAUUUAGACCGGCGGGUUGGCCUCUGUGUUGAGUCUAGGUGGGGCUGCGACGUGUCGAUUUUCCGAGGCCGGGCAUGACCCAGGAAAGUGUGUCCGGCCAGAGUUUAUCGAGCGUGACGGGAAACUUGGUGCACCCCUGCAGGGAUGAAAAUUAACUAUUCGAAUAGCCGUGUCCACGGUUACAAGACAAGUUGGAGUUGUGCCCCGAUCUUAUACAACUACAACUGUUACUUAACUGGAAUGUUUGCUCCGAGAUUGCUUCCUCGCAGGGAGUCGAGGAAGGAUCUCUGGGCGUGAUUUUAAUUACUAUUGCUGCAACAAUAUGACUAUUAAUUGUGUUACUUUCUCUACUAUCGUCUAUUGCUGCAAGACGUUAAAGAUGCUAGUCUUCGAUAGGACUAGGCCUUCUCUCUCUUUUCUCGCAUUGCUGCGGUCACUCCACAUAACCCCUUCCUUUGAUACUGAUGCAUACUUAGCAUAGUCCUGAUGUCCGUCUUGCGAGUACUUUCGAUGAGUACUCAUUGUUGCUUUGCUCCCCCUUUUCCCCUUGAUUCGUUGCUGCAACCAGAUGAUGGAGCCCAGGAGAUGGUUUACCCCGCCGACGAUGCGUGCUACCCCCCGAUGGUGCCUACUACGUGGAGACUGCUGAAGAUCAGGAGUAGUUAGGAGGUUCCCAGGCAGGAGGCCUCGCCUCAUUUGAGCAUUGUAUUUUUUGUGCUAGCCUUCUCGAAGGCACCUCGUGUUUCAUUUAUGUACUCAAAUAUGUGUUGCUUCCGCUGACUCGUGUGUUUAUCGAGCUUUUGUAUUCUUGCCCUCGAGGCCCCUGGCUUGUAAUAUGAAGCUUGUAUGUUUUAUUUGUGUCUAGAGUAGUGUUCUGAUAUCUUCUCGUGAGUCCUUGAGCUUGGUCAUAGGCAUUUGCGUGUAUGAUUAGCGUACCAUCAAAUCGAGGGCGUCACACUUAACCAACUAGUUUUAGGGGUAUGUGAUACGUCCAUUUUGCAUCAUGUUUUCAUGUUGAUAUUUCCCUCUUCUUUGGCUGUUAUUUCACUUCACGGUACUAUUCUUAUGCCUUUUCUCUCUUAUUUUGCAAGGUUUACAUGAAGAGGGAGAAUACCGGCAACUGGAAUUCUGGCCCGAAAGUGGAGCAAAGUUGAGAUACCUAUUCUGCGCAACUCCAAACACCGUGAAAAUCAACGGGGAUUGUUUUCCCGAUUUAUCAAAAAUACUGGGCUGAAGAAGUGCCAAAGGGGCACCAGGGGGUCCCACAAGCCUGCACGGCGCGGCCACCCCCUGGGCCGCGCCAUGGGGCUUGUGGGCAGCCCACUGACCCACUGGCCCCCCUCUUUUGCAAUGUGGAGGGUUUCAUCCAGGAAAAAAUCACAGAGGAGCUGUUUCGUGGUUUCGCCGCCGCCACGAGGCGGAACUUGAGCAGAACCAAUCUAGAGCUCCGACAGGACGAUCCUGCCGGGGAAACUUCCCUCCCGGACGGGGAAAUCGUCGCCAUCGUCAUCACCAACACUACUCUCAUUGGAGGGGACUCGUCACCAUCAACAUCUUCAUCAGCACCAUCUCAUCUCCAAACCCUAGUUCAUCACUUGUAACCAAUCUCCGUCUCGCGACUCCGAUUGGUACUUGUAAGGUUGCUAGUAGUGUUGAUUACUCUUUGUAGUUGAUGCUGGUUAGAUUACUUGGUGGAAGAGUUUAUGUUCAGAUCCUUGAUGCUACUCAUUACCCCUCUGAUCAUGAUUAUGAUUAUGCUUUGUGAGUAGUUACUUUUAUUCCUGAGGACAUGGGAUAAGUCAUGCUAAUAAUAGUCAUGUGAAUUUGGUAUUCGUUCUGUAUUUUGAUAUGUUGUAUGUUGUUUUUCCUCUAGUGGUGUUAUGUGAACGUCGACUACAUAACACUUCACCAUUAUUUGGGCCUAGAGGAAGGCAUUGGGAAGUAGUAAGUAGAUGAUUGGUUGCUAGAGUGACAGAAGCUUAAACCCUAGUUUAUGCAUUGCUUCGUAAGGGGUUGAUUUGGAUCCACUAGUUUAAUGCUAUGGUUAGACUUUGUCUUAAUUCUUAUUUUGUAGUUGUGGAUGCUUGCGAGAGGGGUUAAUCAUAAGUGGGAUGCUUGUCCAAAUAAGGGCAGUACCCAAGCGCCGGUCCACCCACAUAUCAAACUAUCAAAGUAACGAACACGAAUCAUAUGAACAUGACGAAACUAGCAUGACAGAAAAUCCCGUGUGUUCUCGGGAGAAUUUUUCCUCCUAUAAGACUUUGUCCAGGCUUGUCCCUUGCUACAAAAGGGAUUGGGACACUUUGCUGCCCUGUUCCUACUUUUGUUACUUGUUGCUUGCUACGAAUCAUCUCACCACACAAUCACUUGUUACCGAUAAUUGCAGUGCGUGCAGAUUUUUCCUUGCUGAAAACCACUUGUCAGAUCCUUCUGCUCCUCGUUGGGUUCGACACUCUUACUUAUCGAAAGGACUACGGUUGAUCCCCGAUACUUCUGGGUCAUCAAGACUCUUUUCUGACGCCGUUGCCGGGGAGUGAAGCGCCUUUGGUAAGUGGAACUUGGUAAGGAAACAUUCAUAUAGUGUGCUGAAAUUUAUUGUCACUUGUCACUAUGGAUACAAAUCCUUUGAGGGGCUUGUUCGGGGUAUCUUCACCUCGAACGGAAGCACGAAGAGUUGCUCCUCAACCUGAUGCACCUACUGAAAAUAUUUGCUUUGAAUUUCCUUCGGAUAUGCUUGAGAAACUGCUUGCUAAUCCUUUUACAGGAGAUGGAACAUCACAUCCAUACUUGCAUCUGAUCUAUGUAGAUGAAGUUUGUGGUUUAUUUAAGCUUGCAGGUGUGCCCGAGGAUGAGGUCAAGAAGAAGGUCUUUCCUUUAUCUUUGAAGGAUAAGGCAUUGACAUGGUAUAGGCUAUGUGAUGAUACUGGAUCAUGGGACUACAAUCGGUUGAAAUUGGAAUUUCAUCAAAAGCUUUAUCCCCAAAGAGAAGUGGUUUAAAUAUCAUCCUCCUUUAGAAGUCAAUGUAGUUAAACCCACUCUAGUUGAAGAGAAAUUCAUUGCCUAUAAUGAUCACGUGGUACCUAGUACUUACAUUGAGAAACCACCUUUCCCUGUUAGGAUAAAGGAUCAUUCUAAAGCUUCAACUGUGAUACGUAGAGGCUAUAUUAGAACACCUACACCCCCUGAGAAAAUUAGAGUUGAACCUAGCAAUGCUAUUAUCAAAGAUCUUCUGUCUGAAGAAGUUGAGGGACAUGAUAUUCACUUCUGUGAAGAUGCUGCUAGAAUUGCUAAACCUCACAAUAGAGGCAAACAUAGGCCUGUUGUUGGCAUGCGUGUGGUUUCUGUUAAGAUAGGAGAUCAUUGUUAUCAUGGUUUAUGUGACGUGGGGGCUAGUGUUAGUGCAAUACCUCAAUCCUUAUACGAUGAAAUCAAAGAUGAGAUUGCACCUGUAGAGAUAGAGCCUAUUGAUGUUACUAUUUAGCUUGCCAAUAGAGAUACUAUCUGCCCUGUGGGAAUUGUUAGGGAUGUUGAAGUCUUGUGUGGUAAAACGAAGUAUCCUACUGAUUUCCUUGUUCUUGCUACCACACAUGAUAGCUUUUGUCCCAUCAUAUUUGGUAGACCCUUUCUCAAUACUGUCAAUGCUUAUAUUGAUUGUGAGAAGCAAACUGUCACUGUUGGCUUUGAAGGUGUGUCACACGAGUUCAAUUUCUCUAAGUUUGGUCGACAACCUCAUGAAAAGGAGUUGCCUAGUAGGGAUGAAACUAUUGCCUUAGCUUCUAUUGCCGUACCUCCUACUGAUCCCUUAGAGCAAUACUUGCUUGAUCAUGAAAAUGAUAUGCAUAUGGAUGAAAGGGAUGAGAUAGAUAGAGUUGUCUUAGAACAAUAUCCUAUCCUUACGAAUAACUUGCGUGUUGAACUGAUUGGGGAUCCACCCCCACCAAAGGGUGAUCCUAUGUUCAAGCUUAAACAGUUGCCUAAUACUCUUAAGUAUGCCUAUCUUGAUGAAAACCCUAACCCCUUUGAUCCCACAGAGGAUUAUUACUGGCUAUAGGAUGGUGAUCGAUUUUAGGAAACUGGAUAAAGCCACUAGGAAAGAUCAUUACCCUUUGCCUAAUGCUAGAAAUACUAUCCAAACACACACACUUCUGCUUUCUAGACGGUUAUUCUAGUUUCUCUCAAAUACCAGUUGCACAAUCUGAUCAGGAGAAAACCACUUUCACCUGCCCUUUCGGUACCUUUGCCUAUAGAUGUAUGUGUUAUGGUUUAUGUAAUGCACCUGCCACUUUUCAAAGAUGUAUGAUGGCUAUAUUCUCUGACUUUUGUGAAAAGAUUGUCGAGGUUUUCAUGGAUGACUUCUCCGUUUACGGGUCUUCCUUUGAUGAUUGCCUCAGCAACCUUGAUCGAGUCUUACAGAGAUGUAAAGACACCAAUCUUGUCUUGAAUUGGGAGAAGUGCCACUUUAUGGUUAAGGAUGUCAUCGUCUUAGGACAUAAAAUUUCUGAAAGAGGUAUUGAAGUCGAUAAGGCUAAGGUUGAUGCAAUCGAGAAAAUGCCAUACCCCACAGAUAUAACAGGUAUAAGAAGUUUCCUUGGUCAUGCUGGUUUCUAUAGAAGGUUCAUUAAAGACUUCUCUAAGAUUUCUAGGCAUCUUACCAAUCUCUUGCAAAAGGAUAUUCCUUUUGUCUCUGGCGAAGAUUGUGAGGAAGCCUUCAAAAUACUUAAGAGGGCUUUGAUAACUGCACCUAUUGUUCAACCACCUGAUUGGAAAUUGCCUUUUGAGAUCAUGUGUGACGCUAGUGAUUAUGUUGUUGGUGUUGUUCUAGGGCAAAGAGUUGACAAGAAUUUGAAUGUUAUUCACUACACUAGUAAAACUCUAGACAGUGUCCAAAGAAACUAUGCCACUACGGAGAAGGAAAUUUUAGCAGUCGUGUUUGCGUGUGAAAAGUUCAGGUCUUACAUAGUUGAUUCCAAAGUCAUUAUUCACACUAAUGAUUCUGCUAUUAAGUACCUCAUGGAGAAGAAAGACGCUAAACCUAGACUUAUUAGAUGGGUUCUCUUGCUACAGCAAUUUGAUUUGCAGGUUGUCGACAAAAAGGGUGCUGAUAACCUCGUAGCAGAUAACUUAUCUAGGUUGGAGAACGUUCUUGAUGACCCACAACCUAUUGAUGAUAGCUUUCCCGGUGAACAAUUGAAUGUCAACAAUGCUUCACAUAGUGCACCGUGGUAUGCUGAUUAUGCAAACUAUAUUGUUGCCAAAUAUAUACCACCUAGUUUCACGUACCAGCAAAAGAAGAAAUUCUUCUUUGACUUGAGACAUUACUUUUGGGAUUAUCCUCACCUUUAUAAGGAAGGAGUAGAUGGUGUUAUUAGACGUUGUGUACCUGAACAUGAACAGGGACAAAUCCUACAGAAGUGUCACUCCGAGGCCUACGGAGGACACCAUGCGGGAGACAGAACUGCACACAAGUUAUUGCAAUCAGGUUUCUAUUGGUCCACUCUCUUCAAGGAUGCCCGUAAGUUUGUCUUGUCUUGUGACGAAUGUCAAAGAAUAGGUAAUAUUAGCAAACGUCAGGAAACUCCUAUGAACUAUUCACUUGUCAUUGGACCAUUUGAUGUCUGGGGCUUUGACUAUAUGGGACCUUUUCCAAAAUCCAAUGGGUAUACUCACAUGUUAGUUGCUGUUGAUUACGUCACUAAGUGGGUAGAAGUUAUCCCUACUAGUAGUGCUGAUCACAACACCUCUAUCAAGAUGCUGAAAGAAGUUAUCUUCCCUAGAUUUGGCGUCCCUAAAUAUCUAAUGACCGACGGUGGUUCACACUUCAUUCAUGGUGCUUUCUGUAAAAUGCUUGCUAAGUAUGAUGUCAACCAUAGAAUUGCGUCUCCCUAUCACCCUCAGUCCAGUGGUCAAGUAGAGUUAAGUAAUAGAGAGAUUAAACUGAUUCUGCAAAAGACUGUCAACAGGUCUAGAAAGAACUGGUCUAAGAAGCUCGAUGAUGCACUAUGGGCUUAUAGAACUGCUUAUAAGAAUCCCAUGGGCAUGUCUCCGUACAAAAUGGUGUAUGGCAAAGCAUGUCAUUUACCUCUUGAGCUAGAGCAUAAAGAUUAUUGGGCAAUCAAAGAGCUCAACUUUGAUUUCAAACUUGCCGGUGCGAAGAGGUUACUUGAUAUUAGCUCGCUUGAUGAGUGGAUAACUCAUGCAUAUGAGAAUGCCAAGCUGUUCAAAGAGAAGGUUAAGAGGUGGCAUGAUAAGAGGAUACAAAAGCGUGAGUUCAAUGUAGGUGAUUAUGUCUUGCUAUAUAACUCUUGUUUAAGAUUAUUUGCAGGCAAGCUUCUCUAUAAAUGGGAAGGUCCCUAUGUUGUUGAGGAAGUAUAUCGUUCUGGUGCUAUCAAGAUCAACAACACGGAAGGUAAUUGUCCGAAAUGGGCAGAGAAUCAAACAUUAUAUCUCAAGUACUCCCAUAAAUGUUGAAUGCAAUAUCAUCAAUACCAUAACUCCGGAGGAGUACAUAAGGGAUAUUCAUUAGCCUUCUUCAGACUCCAAAAAUGAAGAGGUAUGUGAUUCGGUAAGAAAAUAGAGUCCAAAACUUUUCCAGUAGGAAAUUUUCUCCGUUUUGGAAUAUUUGAAAAAUACAAAAAUUGGAAGUAGUCCGAAAAGUGCGUGAGGAGGCGACAAGCCUGCACGGCGCGGGCCCACCCCCUGGCCGAACAUAUAAAAAGAAUGAGGAUUGAAACUUAUUGAGGGUAGGCAAACGUAGACCUUGGUCAUUGUUGCAAUUAAUAGGAAGUGAUAAAGAAGGAGAGGUUAACAUAUAAAUAUAUCAUCUCUGACACCAUCUAUGAUUGUGAACACUCACCAAACUAUUGCAUGCCUAGAAGUAGAUGUUGGACAAGGAAGACAAUGUAAUGAAUUGUGUUUGCUUGGCUCUGAACAAUGUUAUGUGAUUAGAGAUCCCUUAGCAUGUGAAGAUUUCUUCCACCUCACAUUUGCCAAACCUCCCGCACUAAGUAGAGAUACUACUUGUGCAUCCAUAAACCUUCAAUCCAUUUUUGCCAUGACUGUCCACCAUACCUACCUAGGGAUUGAAUAAGAUCCUUCAAGUAAGUUGUCAUCGGUGCAAGCAAUAAAAAUUGCUCUCUAAUAUGUAUGAUAUAUUAGUGUGUGGAAAAUAAACUUUAUACAAACCUGUGAUGAGGAAGACAUAAAAGCGACAGACUACAUAAUAAAUUUCUUUAUCACAUGGGGCAAUAUAAAGUGAUGUUCCUCCGCACUAAUAGGACACGCAUCCAAACCUCAAAAGCGAAUGACAACCUCUGCUUCCCUCUGCGAAGGGCCUAUCUUGUACCUUUACUUUUUGCCCUUGAAAGAGUCAUGGUGAUCUUCACCAAUUCCUUAUUUUUCCCUUGUCUUGGCUACCGUCAUAUGCUUGGGAAAGAUCUAUAUUCAUAUGUCAACUUGGAGGUCAGUAUUCAUGAAUUAUUAUUGUUGACAUUACCCUUGAGGUAAGCAGUUGGGAGGCAAAACUAUAAGCCCCUAUCUUUCUCUGUGUCCAGCUGAAACUUUGAACUCAUGAGUACCACGUGACUUGUAGCAAUUGUAGAGAACGAAAGAAUGAUUGAGUAUGUGGAUUUGCUUUACAAGCUCUUACUUGACUCUUUCUGAUGUUGUGAUAAAUUGCAAUUGCUUCAAUGACUAAAGCCUAUCGGUUGUUACUCCUCGAUAAGGUUCUUGAUCCAUGCUUUGCUUUGUUAAGGAAUUAUUACUUUAGCAUGAGAGAUUAUAUGUUGGUAUUGCUGUUCUGAUCUUUAUCAUGAUGCAUGCAUGCUCGUAUCUUGUUUUGUCGACACCUCUCUCCCUAAACAUGUGGACAUAUUUAUUGAGCUCGGUUUUCGCUUGAGGACAAGCGAGGUCUAAGCUUGGGGGAGUUGAUACGUCCAUUUUGCAUCAUGUUUCAUGUUGAUAUUUAUCUCUUCUUUGGUUGUUAUUUCACUUCACGGUACUAUUCUUAUUCCUUUUCUCUCUUAUUUUGCAAGGUUUACAUGAAGAGGGAGCAUACCGGCAACUGGAAUUCUGGCCUGAAGGUGGAGCAAAGUUGAGAUACCUAUUCUGCGCAACUCCAAACGCCGUGAAAAUCAACGGGGAUUGUUUUCCUGAUUUAUCAAAAAUACUGGGCCGAAGAAGUGCCAGAGGGGCACCAGGGGGUGCCCACAAGCCUGCACGGCGCGGCCACCCCCCCAAGGCCGCGCCAUGGGGGCUUGUGGGCAGACCACUGGCCCACUGCCCCCCUCUUUUGCUAUAUGGAGGGUUUCGUCGAGGAAAAAAUUACAGAGGAGCUUUUUCUUGGUUUCGCCGCCGCCAUGCGGCGGAACUUGAGCAGAACCAAUCUAGAGCUUCGGCAGGACGAUCCUGCCGGGGAAACUUCCCUCCCAGAGGGGGAAAUCGUCGCCAUCGUCAGCACCAACACUCCUCUCAUCGGAGGGUACUCGUCAGCAUCAACAUCUUCAUCAGCACCAUCUCAUCUCCAAACCCUAGUUCAUCACUUGUAACCAAUCUCCGUCUUGCGACUCCAAUUUGUACUUGUAAGGUUGCUAGUAGUGUUGAUUACUCUUUGUAGUUGAUGCUAGUUGGAUUACUUGGUGGAAGAUUUUAUGGUCAGAUCCUUGAUGCUACUCAUUACCCCUCUGUCAUGAUUAUGAUUAUGCUUUGUGAGUAGUUACUUUUGUUCCUGAGGACAUGGGAUAAGUCAUGCUAAUAAUAGUGAUGUGAAUUUGGUAUUCGUUCGGUAUUUCGAUAUGUUGUAUGUUGUUUUUCCUCCAGUGGUGUUAUGUGAACGUCGACUACAUAACACUUCACCAUUAUUUGGGCCUAGAGGAAGGCAUUAGGAAGUAGUAAGUAGAUGAUGGGUUGCUAGAGUGACAGAAGCUUAAACCCUAGUUUAUGCGUUGCUUCGUAAGGGGCUGAUUUGGAUCCACUAGUUUAAUGCUAUGGUUAGACUUUGUAUUAAUUCUUCUUUCUUAGUUGCGGAUUCAUGCGAGAGGGGUUAAUCAUAAGUGGGAUGCUUGUCCAAGUAAGGUCAGUACCCAAGUGCCGGUCCACCCACAUAUCAAACUAUCAAAGUAACGAACGCGAAUCGUAUGAACAUGAUGAAACUAGCAUGACAGAAAUUCCCGUGUGUCCUCGAGAGAGUUUUUCCUCCUAUAAGACUUUGUCCAGGCUUGUCCCUUGCUACAAUAGGGAUUGGGCCACUUUGCUGCACCGUUGCUACUUUUGUUACUUGUUGCUUGCUACAAAUCAUCUCGCCACACAAUCACUUGUUACCGACAGUUUUAGUGCCACAGAAUUUUCCUUGCUGAAAACCAGUUGUGAGAUCCUUCUGCUCCUUGUUGGGUUCGACACUCUUACUUAUCGAAAGGACUACGAUUGAUCCCCUAUACUUGUGGGUCAUCAGUAUCCAACACGGAUUCUUGGAGAAGGGGUGGUUUAUAGGAAAACCAACUUGAUCAUGAGCACAACAUAAGGUCAGGAUACAACCUCGUAAUACUUACGAGAAGAUAUUCAGAAAAUCAGGAACAAUCUUGCUUUGAGGGCAAGACGAUGGUUAUCAACGAGUGAGGGAUUGACACAACCCUAACUCAUUGAUCAAAAAGUACACCAGGAAAGAUGGACUAGGUAGCACGAUCAAACUUCGAAUGGUGAUUCAAUAACCAACAUGCUAAGAAUGAAAUUAUUGUCCAUUAACUUCCAAUCAAUAGGAUUGCUAGAAGUAUUGAUUUCACACAUCAUGGUUCACUUGUCGAUAUUUCGGUUACAACCAACACGGAGAUCGAGAAAGGAAUAAUGAUGGCAAGGAGCAUCACUAUAUAAAGAGUUCACAAGAGGGGUGCAAUUCUCAUGACAUUCUUGACAUAAGAGGGUAAUACACCAAAGUAGAACAGAACAAAAGUUGGAUUGGCAUUUGAUCUACGGAAUACAACUACUUUGACCCAAUCCUACAUAUGGAUGGGGUACUGGAGUUUGCUUCUCAUAGUCAUUCUGAAAUAGAAUGGCUCGACUAACCACAAGAAUAAUAGGCAUAGAUGACACAAAUGCACAACUACUCUUGACUAUCCUCUCGUAGAUGAAGGUCAGAAUUCAAUUGAAGAGGGGCAACUCUAGACCACAUGAUUUUUCUUAGUUGUAGAUGCAUAUAUUAGCAUGUCGAACGAGUUCAACAUAAUUCUUCCAGACAACCCAUGCAUAAAGGUUGGAUUGGCAGAAUCAUAAUAUGGAAUAGAGAACUCAUCGAGAGCACUCUUAUUAUGAUCAUUUAGUUCACGAAGAAAUUCUGACAUGAUAGUUCAUGGUAUUGGAAGAAUGAUAUACCGCGAACCUUGAAAACUAUAACAAGGUUACUAAUAUCCUAAAGGAACUAGCAAAUACUAUCAACGGAAUGAGCAGAACGAAUCAUGGAUUCAAAAACCCGGAAAUAGAAUACCUACUAACUAAGUAACAUCACGGGAUGUUUUCGAUAAUGAGGGCUAGAAUUAUCACACUACAAACACAAAACACAACUAGACUAUUGCGUGGUUCUUUGAGCUAACAUGGUUUCAUAACACCUACAACAAUUAUGUUGAGGUAUGGAGUACCUCAACACCACAAUUAGUGUGCUUUGUCUAGCAGAAAGACAUCCGGAAUAGGAGGAAGGAAUUUGCAAUUGCAUCAGAUUUUAUAACACAUGGAUAACUCAGACAACAUAACGGUUGUAAGGCCAUGAAAUAUGAGGCAACCUGCAUGAAAACUAAGAACAUAACAAUGAAUUCCUAUGGAGACAUCGAUCCAGGAAUACCACAACUUUCCUAUAAGUCUCCAGCAUAGUAACUCGGCAUCCUAAUAGAUAGAUGAGAAAGCCUAAUUCUUAAACCCCGUAGAAUAAAGAAGAGGGUGAUGCAGAAUAAGAAUGACACGACGAAAGGAGUAAAAGAGCCUUACGUUCCCUUCCACAAUCAUUUCUUUUAUAUAACUAAAGCAGUUCUAGACUCAACAUCAACCAAUUUGGCUUGGUUAUCCUACAGGUAGUCAAGCUCUGAUACCAACGUUGUGGGGACCCCGAUCCUAAGUCAUAAGAACCCAGCAUGUAACACAUCACAUCACUUUGCAGCCUUACAAACGGUAAACUCCACGGCUUCCACCUUACCUUGGCCAGGACCAUUUGCGUCUUUGGGCACACGUAUAUGAAUGUGUCGAUAUCAUUCGAACAACAAAGAACCUAGGUCGACAUAACUAGUUGUAAACCCAAGUGGGACAUCCAUACAGGUACAAGCAUAUAUAACCCAGCAAAGCAGGUGUCGGUCAACAACAUGUGUAGACAAGUUGUAGCAAGCUACAGGGACUCCGUUACACCGCGUGACAUUUCCCCGAGGGGACAGACACAGCAGAAAAGAAGGAUACAUGCCGGUCAAUAGAUGUGUCGGGAGCAGUGGCAAGCUAACGAGGCUCGGUGGAAUCAUAAAGAGGCAUUUCCUCGUACAGAGUACGACUAAAGGCACACAACUAGGUGUUGAAUCCCACACAUACCAAUGCAUUUCAAACAUACACGCAAUAUGCACGAUAUGUGUAGAUACAACAUGGCAUCACAACAUAACUCUAUGACUCAAGCAUUUAUUAAAGGCUCAUAAGAGUCAACAUAGAGUGAUAUUACAAACACGGGUCACAUGACCCAACACUCAAGUCAUACAAGCAACAAGCGGAAGCACAACAUGUCUGAGUACACACAUCUACUAAAAGUGGAUGAAGGAGCCUGAAAAUCUACAAUGACCCUAUCAAAGGAGCCAGACCUGUGUCUGGGAUUCCCAAGCUAUUCCGGUCAAUGUCAAACGCAUUGUGUUGAAACCUUUAAUGAGACUAAGGUCUCCUCUGCAGAAACAUAAAUUAUGCAACCGUGAGUACAAAGGUACUCAGCAAGACUUACAUCAGAACUAUCUACAUAUGCAUCAUUGUCAACAAGGGGGGUUGUGGAGUUUAAAUGCAGCAAGCCAGCUUUGACUCUUGGCUAACCUGUAUUACGACCACGAACACUUAAUUUGAGGUUGGGUAACACACAUGAGUCCACAUAUUCACCAAAUCAAUACACCACUAUGGAUCCACUCUCGUCUCCCUACGAGAAGGCCAUCCAUAGCACUCACACUUAUCUUGCAUAUUUUAGAGUAUCCAUUUCAAGUUGUCUAUGUACCACAUAAUGUUUCCAAGUAGUCCAUAUCCGAGGACGCGGCUAUUCGAACAGAUUAAAUCACCUUCCAGGGGUAUACUUCUUCACACACGCUCUCAUCACUUAUCACCAAAUGCACGUCAUGCAUCUCGUCGACCUUCAAGCGGAAGCACUAGCAUGGGUGUCGGUCACGACCGUUAACCACACAAGACCUUAGUCCAGGUUUAUCACCUAUUUGAGACUGAACCCGCAAGGAAGUCUGACCGAAGUUUCCUCAACGGCCACAAACGAUGUGCGCACGGUUCGACAAGCCCACCAUCCGGGAGCCACUUGGUACACCGUGCCACUGUGUAUCUACCACACUGAAGCCUACCCCGCCGGCAAGAGCUAAACACGACCGCUAACACUUUUCCUACAAACACCAGAAACUAGUUGCAACUCCUGGAUAGAUAUCUAGGCGGUUAAUAAGUCGAGAGAGUCCAUUGGUUUCAGGCUCAAUUCGUGGUAGUAUCUUGUCUUGGAUAACGUACAUAGAACUCAAUUCUUAAGGACGGUUCCAAUGAGACAACCCGCCAUGUACUCCUACAUGGCCUCUCAUCACUACAUUUACCAAAUUAGAUUCACACACUUUACUCUCAAACAGUAGGACAUGAACACAACCAUUAUGAUGCAUCGUCUAGAUGGAUCAGACCCGACACAACUCUAAGCAUAGCAGGCACAGUAAGCAAGCAUGGAUUAGUAAGCACAACAACGCUCAAGAAGUUGCUACUCAUGUUAAGUGGUUUCAUCUAUUUACUGUGGCAAAAACAGGUCAUGUAGAGGAAUGGGUUCAACUACCAAAACAUGUAGCAAUUGAAUCGUUGUUGUCCUAAUGAAGUAAAAGAGAGUUUACAUCAGUAUGCUCAAGGGGUGUUACUUGCCUGACAGUUCUGAAGAUACUACUUCUCUUCAUUAGUCUCAACAGUCACAUCGUCGGAACCAUCGUCUACCGAGAAGGAACAAAACCGAAAAAACAAGAAAGGAGCGCAUUCAAUGCAAUGCAACAAACAUGAUGUAUGAUAUGGCAUGUUAAAGCAUUGAAUUGACCUAGUGGAAAAGGCAGUCACGUUAAUUGAAGUUGAACUCAAUUAUAUACCAAAUUCCAACUCCAACACUAUUUAUCAAAUUAUCCUAACCAUCAUUUUCCCUACUUGGUGAUGUUAACUUGCUCAACCAUGCAUGAACAUGGCAUAAACAGAUUUCUUGCAUUUUUCUGAACAUUUUUCAUAUAUAAUUUAUUUUCAUUGGUGUUACAGAUUAAUUUCUAUGAUUUUUGGAAGUUUAAAGCAUUUUCUAGAAAUAAAUAAAUCCGAAAAUCAAAUAUUGCGUCACCUCUACAUCACAGUGACUUCAACGGUCAACAAGGCGAGCCCGGUUCAAACCUGACCAGCGGGACCCACGAGUCAGUGAUCCCUUGAGUUAAGAGAGGUUAUUUUCUCUUGAUUUAAACAUUUCUGGUUAGUUAAGCUUGCGGGACCCACUAUCAAUGUCUAGGGGGUAGCUAGUGGCGUCAUUAGCCACUUAAUGGGCCUGUCACGUCGGCACGCUGGAGUGCGGCCGGCAGCGACCAUUCCGCACAGUGGAGGCACUCCGGAUCUGCACUACUCGCAUCGAGUUAGCAUGCUGAGGGCACCAGGGCAUAGCCCUCGUCCUCCCGCAUCCAAUACACCAACUAGGGGCUCGGGGAACGGCCGGAGUCGCCGGCUGCGACGACGGAGGCGGCGGCCGGAGCUCGGUGGUUGCACGCGUCAGCGCUGGGGUGUGCUCACGAGCAGGUUGGGGGUCCGGGAGGGAUCUACGGAGCAGCAGGAACCCACCGGUGCAACUAGGGCAAGCCGAAGUGCACCAGAGCAUGGAGCUUGUCGUCCAUGGCAAACGGCGGUGCUCAGAGCUUGCGGGGAUGACGGCUACAACACAGAGUGAGUAGGAAGGAGGGGAGAACACACAGGGGCUCACUGCCAAUCCUAUGGCGUCGACGGCGAGCUCGAGGACGACCCGGACGAAGCAAAUUGACAGCAACGGUCGUCGGAGCCCGAGGUUGAAGACGACGAUGAUGGUGGAGCUACAAGCCUCCCUCGGUCGUGUGCUUCAUCUUGGAGCUCCACGGUGUCGAGGCGGUUCCGUCAGACACGACAUAGGGGCGAGGGGUGGCUGGUGGCCACGCGAACGGCGGCGGCUUGGCCAUGGUCGCUUCGACAUGGAAAAGGGGAAGAAACAGAGCGAGUGGAAAGGCAGGAGAGGGAGUCGGCAGGGUCGGCUAGUCUGCGACGAAGCUAUGCAUCUCGUCACGCUGGCGGGGAGGGGGCAGGAGGCUAGUGCGCAGCAUGCUGAGCAUGCGCGUGCGUCGGCCACAUGCCCGGUGUCCUUCUCGAGCGGUGGAGAAGACGACUAGCGAGGUGGGCCUCGUGGGUUGGCUGUCUAGUCGGCCACCAAGUAAGCACCAGGUUAGUAUUCUCUAUUUUCUGUUUGUUUCUGUCACUUAUUUAUUUAUUUGUAUUCUAUUUUGAUUUGAUUCAAAAACCAAAUCAUUUGAAAACCUUCUGAAAAUAUUUAUGUGGCUUACUGGAAUAUAUUCGUAGCCACUUGCAACCUUUCAGAAUUUUAGGAUCUAUAAAACUAUUUAUAGUACUUAUAGAUCCAAUGCAAAAACUUAUUGGAUUAACUCAAAUUCCAAAAAAAACUGUGAUUCCAAAAAUAUUGGUUUAAGUUUUCCCCAUUGCCAAUAUUUUCACAGAACAACAGGAACAUUUUCUUGGAGUUGUUUGAGGCAAUGUUAUCUUGGUCAUUUUGUGAAGAAUGCUUUCUGAGGCUUACUNAACGAUGGGGUCUAUUCUUACAUGAAUAGAUCUUGUCUACAUCAUGAUAUCGUUCUUAAGGCAUUACUCCGUUUCUUCAUGAACUCAAUACACUAGAUGCAUGCUAGAUAGUGGUCGAUGUGUGGAGUAAUAUAAGUAGAUGCAGGCAAAAGCCAGUCUACUUGUCUUGGAUGUGAUGCCUAUAUACAUGAUCAUUGUCUUUAAUAUCGUCAUAAUUAUUUGCAAUGUCUAUCAAUUACCCAACAGUAAUUUGUCUAUCCACCUUUGCUAUUUCUCGAGAGAAGACACUAGUGAAACCUACAACCCCUCGGUCUACUUCACAUCAUCUAUUUGCAUUUCUAUUUUAUUUGCUCUUUUAUUUUCAGAUCUUUAUUAUCAAAAAAAACAAAAAUAUCUUGUCGCGUUCUAAUUGCUACCACUCUUAUUUGCAUCUAUAAAACUAUCUUACUUUACCCGCGAGGGAUUGACAAAUCCUCAACGCGUUGGGUUGCAAGGAUUUGCUAUUUGUGUGCAGGUGUUGCUUACAUAGUAUUGUGGAUCUUCCUACUAGAUUAAUAACUUUGUUUCUUAAUUGAGGAUAAUACAUGUCGUCACUGUGCUAUAUCACCCUUUAAGCUUGGAGGGAAACCAACGCAUGAGCUAGGACCAUCAAGAUUUCUAGCGCCGUUGGCAUGGAAGAUCAAGUCAAGAUCUAUCAAGUUCAUACACACAAAUCUCAUCUCACUGCAAUUACAUUAUUUGUCAUUUGCCUCUCAUUUUCCUCUCCCCCACUUCACAAAAUUUUGCCUUUGUUAUUUGCCUUCUUUCCAUUUGCCUUUUUCUUUCUUGCUCUCUUCUAUUGCCUUCAUGUCAACACUCGAAAACAUAAAAAAACAGGAAAAGCAAAGACAUAUGGAUCCUCAUCCACUUGGUAAUCUUUUAAAAAGAUAUAAUUAUCUUGAACCAAUUGCUAGUGAGUUGAGUGCUCUUGAUUACUUUUGUGAAGUUUUUCUUGAAAAUCAUGAAUUUGAAUAUUGUGAUGAAGUGUUAAAAGAAGAAAUUUAUAAACCGAUUCAUGAUAUCUCCUUGAAUGAAAAGCGUGAUUACAGUGAUGUUGUUAUUAAUUCUAUUAAUGUCAAUCAUGAUAAUAAUAUGAAAAACUACAAGAUUAGGGAUGGCAAUUUUGUCAUGUCCACUACUCAUUGUAAUGAUCAUGAUUGGGGUGAUGCUUCUUAUCAUCUUGAAAAUUUAUUUAAUCCUCAUGAUGAAUAUGAUCUUCAUAAUAAUGUUUGCAAUAGUAUUGAUAGUGGGUUUGGAGAGGUCAUGACUUUAGUUAGGCCCUGUUUGGAACCAUAAUUGAUUGUGAUAAUCUGGAUUAUGAAUAUAGAUUAUAUAAUCUGGUUUAUAAAAAUAAUCUAGGUGGGCAUAUUUGGAGGCUAGAUUAUAUAAACUGUAAUCCAGGUUUUACAUUGCAUAAUGACCUGUCUGCCCUCUGUUUUUUUAAAGAGGAGGGUGGCGGUGGGAGAAAUGUAAUCAUCUCCAACUUUACAAGGGUAAUGGGUCAUUAGCAAUCCAUAGUCUGAUUUUAGCUAGGGUAGAGUAGAUUGUGAGUUUUUAGUAAUGUGUCCAUCUAAUUUCUAUAAUAUACAUCAUAAUAUGUCCUGUUUGGAGGCAUAAUAGAUUAUAAAAACUAGACUAUAUAAUUUGAGUGGUUCCAAAUAGGGCCUUAAUGUUAAUCCCACUACCUUGAAAGAUUAUAAGACUUUUAUGCAUGUGGAUCAUGAAGAGAAUACUUGAUGUGAUGGCUAUAUUGUUGAAUUUGAAUAUGAUCCUACAUGUAAUUAUUAUGGGAGGGGGAAAUAUNNNNNNNNNNNNNNNNNNNNNNNNNNUUAUCACUCUUCAUGUUGAGAUUGCUAUUGUUUCUUUCUUCUUCCAUGCAUAUGUUAGAAAUUUCUUCUCUUGAUAAUUUGUUUGCUUAUGAAAUGAAUAUGCAUAGGAAUUAUGUUAUACUUAAAUGUGUAUGUCUUAUGCUACAUGAUGCUCUCUUUCUCUUUCAACUACUAUCUUUCAUGUGAGCAUCAAUAAAAUCUCAAGCCUAUCUUAAUGGCUAUAAAGAAAGAGCUUGUUGGGAGGCAACCCAAUGAAUAAAAUUUAUUUUUCACUUUUGCUUUCUGUUCUUGAGUGUUUACACAAUUAUGCUACUCUUAUUAUUGUGUUUUUUGUGUUUUAUUUAGUGUAUGUGCCAAGUAAAGCCUUUGGGAUCAUGUGGGGUGUUAGUUGCUUUAAUCCUGUUGAAAAACACAAACUUUUGCGUCNNNNNNNNNNNNNNNNNNNNNNNNNNNNNNNNNNNNNNNNNNNNNNNNAACGUCAAAAGUGCCUGAAUGUUUUACACAAGAUUUUUAUAUAACUUCCCUAAGUUGUAAUAAUUUUUCAAAAAAAAUUGAGUUACAUAAGUAUGAUUAAAAUUUUAUUCUUUAUAGACCAUUUUGUUUUUAACAGAUUCUGCUUUCUUUGUGUUAUGUCCUUGUUUUAAUGAUUCUAUGGCUUGUAUAGGGGGCAUAAGCCAAGGUAAAGUUAUAAUACAUUAGGUAUAAUGCAAAAAAAACAAUAUUGGCAUAGGUUUUCAAUAGUACCUAUAGUAAAGUUUGGUUUUCUUAUACUGACGGAUCUCACAAAAAAUUUGUUGACUUUUGUGUGAUUGAAGUUUUCAAGUUUUGAGUGAGAUCACAAUGAAUGAAGGAAUAAGAAGUGGUAAAAUCCUAAGCUUGGGGAUGCCCCCAUGGCACCCCAAGGCAAUAUAUAAGGAGUACCAAGCAACUAAGCUUGGGGCUGCCCCGGAAGGCAUCCCCUCUUUCUUCUAAAAACCAUCGAUAAUUUUACUUCGAGCUAUAUUUUUAUUCGUCGCAUAUCAUGAGUUUUGCUUGGAGCGUCUUGUAUCAUUUGUGUCUUUACUUUCUUUUCUGUUUAGUUUUUCAUAAUAAACCUUGCUGGACACACCCAUUUGAGAGAGCUAAAUAAUGCUAUGAUUUGUUAGAAUCGCUCUUUAUGCUUCACUUCAAUUUUUUAGCGAUGGAAUUGCUCAAGUACUUCACUUAUAUAUUUUUGAGCACGUUGGUGCUAUUAUUUUGAAGAAAUUUGCUCUCAUGCUUCACUUAGAUUAUUUUGAGAGUUUCUUAAAUUUUGAAGAAAUUCUCUCUUGCUUCACUUAUAUAAUUUUGGGAGUUGAAAAUUUUAAAUAAACUUGUGCUCUCGUUCUUCACUUAUAUUUGUUUGAGAGCUUGUUAUUUGCAAUGACAAUUUGCUUUAAAUGAAAAUUAGUUCCAAAGUGAUGAAUGUCCUGGAAAGAUAUAAUAAAAACUUUCAUGAAGAUCAUUGGAUAUUAAACUUGAUUCUUUGGAAUGGUUUUGCGAUAUGAAGAUAGUAAUAUGUGAGUUAUGUUGAUGAGAAAUUAUGCUCUAGUAAGAAUAUUGGUGUUAAUGUUUGUGAUUCCCUAUGCAUGCACAUUAAGUCAAUAAUUAUGUAUGAAAUUACAUCCUACUUGUGUUGCAUUAUUCGGUGUUAGUUAUGUUUAAUGUUCACUUAUGAUGAUUUUUGUUCCUUGUUUGGGCGCUUCUCAAUCUAUUUGCUAGCCUUCACUUGUACUAAGCGGGAAUACUACUUGUGCAUCCAAAUCCUAAACCCAAAGUUGUGCCAAAUGAGUCCACCAUACCUACCUAUAUGCGGUAUUUCAACAUCGUUCCAAGUAAAUUUGGAAGUGCCAACUCUAAUGUUUGAAAUGAAUUUAUGUUUUGUGUGCCCAUACCACUCAUGAAGCGACAAGGGGUGGACGGUAUCUUCCAUGUUAAAUAGGUUAUUCUCAAGAUGAGUGUUUAUUAACUUGUAGUUGCACGAGAGUAAGGCGGUAAUAGGGAUGCUCGGCCGCAAAAUGAAAAAAAAUUAUCUUAUAUUGUCAAAUAAUAAAUUCCUUGGGAAGUUUUGGUAUAGACGAUACCCGUGGAUAUGCCUAGCCGUGGAAUGUGAAAGAAUGGUGGAAAAAGGAAUAAAGUUUAUAUCCAAUUUAGGAACCGCCUAUAAUUUGUUUAGCAUGGAGGAUAUUGUAAACUCUUGGUUGUUCUCGUUGACAGGAAAAGCAUGCCACCCUAAAAGGUUUUAUCUCUAAAUUUUUCACUAUGAGCUCUCGCACCUCUACAAAUCCGUGUUUCCCUGUGCGAAGGGCCUAUCUAUUUACUUUAUGCAAAAAAAUGCAUUUGAGUCUGCAUAUUCUCUUAUAAAGCAACAACUAAGGAACACAUUUGUCAUACUUGAUCAUUGGAUGUAGUUAAUAUUUGAGUGUGUUGCAUGAAUGGAUCAAUGAUAAAGAAUGAUGGGCUAGCGAUAGCGUUCUUUAGCGUUGAUAUUUUGAAAGACUUGGUUACUUACUGAUAUGCUUGAGUAUUGAAAUUUUCAUGUCAAACUAUAGAAUAUUGAUUUGUAUCAUCUAUAAGUCCAUAUGUCCAUGUUGAAAAGAAAAAGAAUAUGAUAAACAUGUGAGGCAACAUUCCACAUCAAAGUUUAUGGUUUUUAUCAUUUACCUACUUGUGGAUGAGAAGGAAUUAAGAUUGGGGAUGCUGAUACGUCUCCAACGUAUCUAGUAUUUUUUUAUUGUUCCAUCAUAUUAUAUUAUCAAUCUUAGAUGUUUUAUAAUCAUUUCAUAGCAACUUUAUAUCAUUUUUCGGGACUAACCUAUUGACAUAGUGCCUAGUGCUAGUUGUUGUUUUUUGCUGUUUUUUUCCUUCGCACAAAAUCCAUAUCAUAUGAGGUCCAAAUGCCAUGAAACUUUACGUAGAUUCUUUUUGGACCAGAAGGAAACUUGGCAGCCAAGAAUGAGCAGCACAUGAGGCCCAUGAGGGCCACUAGACAUCAGGGGGCGCUAUAGGCCCUUGGAGCGGCCUCGUGUCUAGUGGGGACCUCUAGCACCUCCUACACCGCCUCUGAGCUCUCUAAAUACCCCAGUAUUUAGAAAACCCUAGAGGAGUCGACGAAAAAUCGUUUCAGCCGCCGCAAGUUACAGAGCCAUGAAAUCCAAUCUAGAGCCCAUUUUGGAGAGGAACACGAUCAUGGAGGGGUUCACCAUCCUUAUUGGUGCUCCUCCGAUGAUGCGUGAGUAGUUCAUAUCAGACCUAUGGGACUGUAGGCAGUAGCUAGAUGGCUUUCUCUCUCAUUUUAUUUCUCAAUACAAUGGUCUCUUGGAGAUCCAUAUGAGGUAAGUCUUUAUUUUGCAGUGUGUUUGUUGGGAUCCGAUGAAUUGUGAAUUUAUGAUCAUAUCUAUGAAAACAUAUUCAUGCUUGAUUAUUAUAGUCUCGUAUUUCUUCUUUGAUAUUUGUUUUUUGUCUGGCCAACUUGAUAUUUUAUCUUACAAUGGGAAGAGGUGCUCUGUGAUGGGUUCGAUCUUGCGGUGCUCAAUCUGAGUGACAGAAAGAGACAAGACACGCAUGUAUCGUUGCUAUCCAGGAUAAAACAAUGGGGUCUAUUCCUACAUGAAUAUAUAUUGUCUACAUCAUGUCAUCAUUCUUAAGGCAUUACUCCAUUUCUCCAUGAACUCAAUACACUAGAUGCAUGCUGGAUAGCGGUCGAUGUGUGGAGUAAUAGAAGUAGAUGCUGGUAGAAGUCGAUCCACCUAUCUUGGAUUUGAUGCCUAUAUACAUGAUCAUUGUCUUGAAUAUUGUCUUAAUUAUUUGCUUUUAUAUCAAUUGCCCAACAAUAAUUUGUCUAUCCGCCGUUUUUUAUUUCUCGAGAGAAGCCACUAGUGAAACCUACUGCCCCCGGGUCUACUUCACAUCAUCUAUUUGCAAUCUCUACUUUGCUAUUUGCGUUUCUAUUUUGUUUGCUCUUUUAUUGUCAUAUCUAUAUUAUCAAAAAACCCAAAAAUACCUUUCUGCGUUCUAAUUGUUGUCACUCUUAUCUUCAUCUAUCAAUCUAUCCUUACUUUACCCACGAGGGAUUGACAACCCCUCCAUGCGUUGGGUUGCAAGGAUUUGCUAUUUUUGCGCAGGUGUUGCUUACAUAGUCUGGUUGAUAUUUCUAUUGGAUUGGUACCUUGGUUUAUUAACUGAGGGAAAUACUUGUCGUCGUUGUGCUACAUCAUCCUUUAAGCUUGGACGGAAACCAAUGCAUGAGCGAGGACCAUCACUCAUACAUUGUUUAAUUUCUCUUCGUGCUUACCGAAGGAUGAUUGCUAUGAUAAUUGCUGUGAUCCCUUGGAUUCGUUUGAAAUGUCCCUCUUGAUGAACUUGAUGCUUUCUAUGCUUUUCACCAUGAUGCCAAUAUGAAUUAUGCUUAUGGAGAUGAACUUGCUAUAGUUCCUUAUGUUAGGCAUGAAAUUGUUGCUAUUGCACCCACACACAAUAGUCCUAUUAUACUUUUGAAUUGUCCCAGCUACACUAUAUUGGAGAAGUUUGCACUAAUUAAGGAUUAUAUUGAUGGGUUGUGUUUUACUAUCACACAUGAUGAUUUUUAUGGAUAUAAUAUGCAUUUGCUUGCUUCUCCUACUUGAAAUUAUUAUGAGAGAGGAACCAAAUCUUCACCUAUCUAUGUUUCCAAUAUGAUAAAAUUGCAAGAAACUACUUAUGCUUUGCAUUGGCCUUUACUUUGUGUGAAUGAAUUGUUAUUUUAUGACACGCCAAUGCAUAGGAAGAGGGUUAUACUUUGUUGAUAUAUGUCAUAUAUCACUUUGUUCUCACUACUAAAUUACAAAUUAUUGUUAAUUAAAAUUGGCUUUGAUAUACCUUGGGAUGCGGGUGGAUCAAUUACUUGAGCACUAUAUGCCUAGAUUACAGGCUUUAAUGAAAGCACUGACAGGGAGAAAACCCAGAUUGUUUAGAGAGUAAUUUUAUUUUGUUAUGUGCUUUUAAAAUAAUUUAAAACAAAAAAUAAAGUGGGGAACCUUAAAAAUACAAAAAGAAAAGUGAAAGUGAGCCAGAUGAGCAAUGUGGAAGUGGGGGCUAGCCUUGAACUUUGUUCAUGCCCAUGGAAACUUUUUAAUUCUUGAUUAUAGUCAAAAAACAAUCAUUACCUUGUACAAAUCGAGUUCAUUAUAAAAAAAUGUGCCAGUCUUUUCCUUUAGGGUGUUUAAAUUGCUUGUUUGAUAGGUGAUGUGCAAAAACAGAAACUUUGGUUGUAGUAUUUGAUUUUUCCUAUUUUACUAGAAUGUCAAAAAAAUCUAAUUUUUUACACAGUAGUGCUAUGCAAAAAAAUUAUUACUUCCUAAUUUUGUAUAAUAUUCUGAGUUACACAAGUAUGUGUUUCAUCUGCAUCUUUAUAGAGUGUCAUGUUUUCACAUAUUGCUGUUGUAGUUGCUUCGUUUGCUUAUGUUUGAAAUUCUUGUUGAGUACUAAUGACUUGGGAGCCAUAGAAUAGUGAUAUAAUAUAGUAGUUAAUUUUAUAUUAUCAUUAUAUAAUAAUUUUAUGGUAGUACAUGAUGGGAUUUGAUGUCAUAUGUACUAACCUUUCCAUUGAAAGUUUUUCAAGUUUUGUGUGGAUAAAGUGUUCGAAGAUCGAGGAGAUAUUGAUGUCAUAAGAAUAAGGAGAGUAAAGAGUUAAAGCCUAGGGAUGUCCAAGGCACCCCAACUAAAUAUUUAAGGACACUCAAGUGUCCAAGCUUGGAGAUGCCCCGGAAGGCAUCCCAUCUUUCCUCCUCGACAAUUAGCGGUAUGUCUCGGUUUUUUGUUUUGUUCACAUGAUAUGCGUAAAUUCUUGGAGUGUCGUGUGACUUUUUUCCUUCAACAAUGCACCAUGAUAGUAUGGGAAAUUCCUUGGUUGAUUUAUAUAAUGCUCUAUGCACUUCACUUAUAUCAUUCAAGUAUGGCUUUAAAGAAUCCUUCAUGUGCUUCACUUAUAACAUUUGAAAUUUGGAUGUUUGUUUCUUGACAUAUAGAAAACCGUUAUUUGUAGAAUGCUCUUUUGCUUCACUUAUAUUUAUUAGAACAUGGUAUUUUGUAGAAAUAAUUCAACUCUCAUGCUUCACUUAUACAUAUUUAGAGAGUUAACAAUAAUUGGUCAUUCACAUGGUUAGUCAUAAAAUCCUACAUAAAAUUUGUAGAUCACUCAAUAUGAUAUGUUUGAUUCCUUGCAUCAGAUAUUAAGAUGAUAAUAUGUGGGGUGCUAGUGAAUGAUUGUGGUUUAGUAAGAAUAUUGGUGUUAAGGUUUGCGAUUCCCGAAGCAUGCACGUAUAGUCUCUAAUUAUGCGAUGAAGUUAGAGCACAAUUUAUCCUUGAUUGAAAUCCUUUAUGUUGUUAUAAUCGGGGGGCGCGCAAUGGUUAACUCCUACAACCUCCUCCAUAGGGGCAUGCGAGUAGUACUUUGCUUUGAGAGAGCUAAUAUGCUUUACGAUAAGUAUGUGGGUUCUUUAUGACUAGUGUGAAUCCAUGUGCUCACUCUCACCUUUCCCUAAUUGCUAGCCUCUUCCUUAUCGUGCAUUGCCCAAUCUUACCUCGAAGGUCGGUGCAGCCUUCGCUAGUGCAUCCAAACCCCGUGAUAUGAUACACUGUAUCACACAUAAGCCACCUUAUAUCUUCCUCAAAACAACCACCAUACCUACCUAUCAUGACAUUUCAGCCAUUCCGAGAUAUAUUGCCAUGCAAUUUCAUCAUCAUCAUAUACAUUGUUUGAGCAUUCAUUGUCAUGUUGCUUUGCAUGAUCAUGUAGCUCACAUAGAAUUUGUGUCAAAGCCAUCGUUCAUCAUUACCUAAAUGUUACGCUAGAUCAUUGCACAUCCUGGUACACUACCAGAGGCAUUCAUAUAGAUUCAUCUUGUAUAGCUUUAUCAUUAUAUCAAGUUGUAGAUAAAUAAAGGUGUGACGAUCAUAACUCUUGGAGCAUUUCCUAGUGAGGAAAGUAUGAUGGAGACUAUUAUUCCCCCACAAGUCGGGACGCGACUCCGGACGAAAAAUAGAAAAUGAGGGAGGACAAAUGAGCCCACCAAGAAAAAAGAAAAACAGAGAAAUAAAGGGGGAAAACGUAAAAUCAAUGAGAGAAAAAGAGAGAAGGUGCAAUUCUACUAUCUUUGUCCACACUUGUGCUUCAAAAUAGCACCAUGUUCGUCAUAUACAGAUUCUCCUGAGUUGUCAUUUUCAUAUGCUAGUGGGAAUUUUUUUAUUAUUCAACUUGGCUUUAGCAUAGUUAUUUUCAAAGACAUGAUUGUUUGUUAGUAUGUCUCAGUAUUGAUGUCUUUAUAUCAAAUGAUAGAGUAUUGCCUUGAAUCACUUUUAUCUUAAUAUUCAUGCCAUGAUUAGACAUUUGUUCAAGAUUAUGAUAGGUAGCAUUCCACAUCAAAAAUUAUCCUAUUAUCACUUACCUACUCGAGGACGAGCUGGAAUUAAGAUUGGGGAUGCUCAUACAUCUCCAUCGUAUCUAUAAUUUUUUAUUGUUUCAUGCUAAUAUUCUACAACUUUAAUAUACUUUCGGCAACAUUUUAUAUUAUUUUUGGGACUAACAUAUUGAUCGAGUGCCCAGUGCGAGUUCCUUUUUUGUGUUUUUUGCUUCACAGAAAAUCCGUAUCAAAUGAAGUCCAACCAUGAUAAAAAAAUUAUGGACAUUUAUUUUGGAAUACAUAUAAUUUUUGGGAGUCGGAAUCAACGUAAGACGAUGCCCCCAAGUGGUCCCUAGAGAAUAGGGCGCGACCACCCUGAUAGCUUGGGACUCCCUCGUAAGUCGCUUCGGGCCCUUCUGUCGCCACAAGAAAGAUAUUUUUUUGAUAAAAAUCCCCUCAAAUUUAGCCCAGUCAGAGUUUUGGGUCAAUGGAUAUUUAAGAAACGGCGAGGGCCAGAAAACAAUCAUAAAAACAUAAGAUAAUAAUAGAGAGAUAUCCAAUCUCGGAGGGGUUGCUGCCCUCUGGAAGCCAUGGCGGCCAUGGACCAGAGGGGAAACUCUCCUCCCAUCUAGGGAGGACCAAGGAAGAAGAAGGAGGAGGGGGCUCCCUACCCCUAUCUCCCGGUGGUACCGGAAUGCUGUCGGGGCAAUCAUCAUGACGACAAUCUACACCAACAACUUCGGCACCGUCACCACCUACUCUUACCCCCUCUAUGCAGUGGUGUAACUCCUCUUUUCCCUGUUGUAAUAUCUACUUAAACAUGGUGCUUAAAGCUAUAUAUUAUUACCCAAUGAUGUGUGGCUAUACUAUGAUGUUUGGGUAGAUUUGUUAAUUGAUGAUCGUGAUUGGUUUGAGUUGUAUAUUUUAUUUUGGUGUUGUCCUUUGGUGCCCAUCAUAUGAGAGCGUGUGUGGGUCACACUAUAGGGUUAGUUGUAUGUUGAUAGGACUAUGCAUUGGAGGGCAAGAGUGACAGAAUCUUCUUCCUAAUAUAGAAAUUUAUUCAUACGGGAUUGAAUGAGGACCAAUAUAUCUUAAUGAUAUGGUUGGGUUUUACCUUAAUGAACGUUAGUAGUUGCAGAUGCUUGCUAAUAGUUCCAAUCAUAAGUGCAUAGAAUUCCAAGUAAGUGAUGACAUGCUAGUAGUGUCCUCUCCCUCAUAUAAAAGUACAAUAGUGAUUACCGGUCUAGUUAUCGAUUUCCUAUGGACAAAUCUUUCCGUUUUGUUACAAAAAGAUUCCUACUAAACAACUAACUUAGUUAAUCUUUAUGUAAACAACCCCUAAAUUUUAUCUACUUUUUCUUUAUUUUCUUGCAAAACUAUCUAUACACCUACUAAGUACUUCUAGUCUUAUUUCCUCAAAGUAGUUUAUUUCUUGUACUUGGUAUAGUGAACAUUGUUGCGCGUAGAGUUGUAUAGAUCGUCGAUAGAACUUGAGAGAAUAUUAAUUAUACCUUUAGAUCCUCAUUGGGUUCGAUACUCUUACUUAUCAGAAAAGGCUACAAAUGCCCCCCUACACUUGCCGGUUAUCAAGUAUCAAAACCAAGAACACCAUAUAGUGUUGCGGGCAUAGUAGACACACUUGCACAUAAAUCACAUAAAGCAUUGCAUUUGUAAUUAUUGAUCUUAAUUUCAAUAGUUGGUUCUGUAAGUGCAUCUAGGGCCCCUUACUGAUUUUGGUGGUUUGAAGACUUAUAGGUUAAGUAUCUAAUGAGUUCAUGAGUGCACACAGGAUCUAUAAGUCGUUGAGGAGUUUGAAAUAUACGAUGAAUAUAGACCCCUAAAAAUGUAUAUCUUCGACUGAAGAAAUUGGUCUUCUGCUGAAGAAUUUGAUCGCGAAGAAAUUGCGAUGAAAUUGAUAUUCCUCAUGAAGAUAUUGAAGAUGAGGAAUUCGGUGUGUCCUGAAGAAAAACGAUCCGAAGACUUUGAAGCGUGAAGAUUUAUUCUUUCUGUUUUCAUUUUCUUCACUCUUGAGUCAUAGGAACACCGUACUGUUAAAGGGGGUCGAGGUAACACUUCGGAAUGAAUUUCCUCAUGAUGCUCAACCCAAGCCUAAUCCGACCAAAAGUCUAAAGUGAGGAAUAUGAGAGACAUGAGGACUCUCACAGUUGAGGGUCCCGACCGUUGCCGCAAUUCUCGCCACAUCACUGAUCUUAUCCACACCAACGGUCAUAUUAUUUAAGGGCAUUAAUGUCAAAUCAUAUCGGGAUGCUCCCAGGCUAUAAAUAGCCGCCCCCACAACCAUUAGUUGGUUGGCUGCUCCGUGAGAAACUGACACUUGUCAUUUAGAGCAACCCAAAUUCCUCAGAGUCUUCGAGAGUAAAUCAUAAGUGAGGAAAUACCCCAAACACCAAACCACAAACCAAAAACCAAGUGAUUGAGCAUCAAUGAAGAAUUUGUUCCUGUGUGGGACUGAAGCAUUUUACCUUUGAGGAAUGUGCAUCCUCCAGACGGUUAGGCGUCAUGGUCUAGAGCAAUCCAGCAGUCAAUUGUGGAUUGCCGGGUGACCAAGUUUGUGAGGGUUUGGAACUUUGCCCUGAAGACUUACCACGAGAGUUGGGCGAGGACUGUGUAUCCUUAGAUCAAGGAGAAUAUGGUAGGGACUGUGUGUCCCGGUAUUGUGUGUCUUUUGGUUUCAAUACCAAGUUGCUCCAAACCAGACGUACAACUGUCACAUCAAUUGGAACUGGGUCAUCAACCAAUGUCUUCACUGUGAUACGGGUUCUAUUUCAUCAACUCUUUCAAUUCCUCAAUACUAUUUGUUGAAGAUUUUAAUUGUCACUGUUUGAAGAAUUUGCUGAAGACUUUCUCUAAAAUUCCUCAACCUCAAAUUCUUCACGCGAGUUAAUCCUCACCUGCUUUCUCUGUGUCUGCGUACUGUGCAAACUGUUUUUCAUAUUCCUCAUCUUGAAAACUGCUAUAGUGAUACUUUGCACCCCUGAUCUUUUGAUGUUUCUACUGCAAGUUAGUAAUCAGUGAGGAAUUCCUCAAAAGGAAUUUCCUCAGUGAUGAAAUUCUAAAAAUCUCCUAUUCACCCCCCCUCUAGUCGAUAUAACGCACUUUCAAUUGGUAUCAGAGCAAAGUACUCCCUUGUUCUGUGUGAUUUUGGUUUAACCACCUGGUGUUUUAGUUAUGUCGACUGCAGGCAUGAUCAAGGUUACUGCAGGAUGUCCUACCUUCGAAGGAAAGGACUUUCCCUUCUGGAAGACAAAGAUGUGGAUGCAUCUACAAGCUAUUGACAAUGAUCUCUCGUACAUUGUGGAACAUGGUGUCCCUCUCAUCACUGCUACUAUCUCUGCCGCUGAUGUGAAGAAAUUCAAGCAACUUGAUUCUCAAGCGAAGAAUAUCAUUUGUGGCCAUCUGAGCAAAGGUCAGUAUGGCAGAGUGAGUGCUUUGGGCUCAGCAAAACUAAUCUAGGAAAGGCUGUCCAAAGUAAAUGAAGGAGUAUCAACUCAGCGUGACUCUCGUGUUGAUGUUCUUCGCAAUCUCUUCAAUCGCUUCAAGAGGCUUGACAAUGAAAGGUGCCAAGAUACCUUUGAUCGCCUCACUGACAUAUCAAAUGAACUGCAAGCACUGGGAGCUCAAGACAUUACUGACCGUGAAGUUGUGAAGAAACUGCUAAGAUCUUUGGAUUCUUCAUUUGAUACUUUAGUUCUGAUGAUUCAAGAAAGACGAGACUACAAAAUGCUUGAUCCUUCUGACAUACUCGAAAGACUCAAUACUCAUGAAUUCCAACAAGAAGAAAAGACAUAUCUAUAUGGACCAAGCUAUUCUAGACCUCGUGCACUGAAGGCCAAAGCAAUUUCCUCAUCUGAAGAAGAAGACUCGGAUUGCAACAUUGGUGAUCCUGAAGAACUUGGACAAGAGCUUGCAAUGCUUGUGAGGAAAUUCCAGAAGUUUACAAGACGUGGCCAGUUUGGUAAAUCUUCAAAAAGAGAUAUGAGGAAAUCAGAAUCUUUAUCUCAGGACUACAAGAAAAGAACCUUCCACAAAUGCAAGAAAUCAGGUCACUACAUUGCUGAUUGUCCUUGUUGGGUGAAGGAAUCAAAGAAGAAGAAAUACAAGGACAACAGUUCUGAUGACUCGAAGAAAAAGAAGAAAUUUUCAAAAUCCUCAUCCUCAAAGUCCUCAUAGCACAAGAAGACAUGUUUCAGAAAGGCUCGGGCACUUAUUGGCAAGGAAAUGGAUUCUGAGGCAGAAUCUAAGGAAUGUGAUGAAGAGGAGGGUUCUGAAGAAGAAUCAGAAUCUGGACAGACUAGUCUUGCACUAGCUACCAGAUUCGUCAGGAAGUCAAUCUUCAACCUUGAAGAAAACGACAACGCCAUCCACACUGAUGACUAUGUUGAUGACUUCGUUCCAACUAUUGCUUCAUGGCAAAAGGUUCAAAGGUACCGAAUGAUACUUCCUCCUCUGAUUCAAGUGACUGUGAACCUGAUGACUAUAAAAAAACCCAGUUAUAGUAAACUUGCUAUCAUUGCAACUAAACAACAAACUGCCCUCGAUAAGCUUCAGAAACUGCUAGAUAGAAGCGAUGACCUGUUGAAUGAUGAAAUGAAUCUUACCCAAAUCCUCACUGAAGAUAUGAAAAGUCUUCAGUCCAGAUUUGAUAAUCUUCAAGAUCGUCAUGACACACUCCUCGCUGAUCAUGAGAAACUUUCUUAUGAAUUUCUUCAAAGGAAACUUGACCUUGAGAAGCUGAGGAUUUCUCAUGAUGAUCUUCGUAUGGAAAAUGAUUCAUUACUCUCUCAACAGAUCAGUGCCGCUCAGGUUGAAUUCAUUCCUCCAUGUCUUAAAUGCAUUGAACGUAAACUGCCAAUUCUUCACCAGAAUCAUCAAAUGCUUCUAUUGCUACAAAUUCUUCAACUCCUCAUGUGGUAUCAAAUUCCUCACUUGAGGAAACCACAAAUGUCACCGACGAAAAUGCAGGGCUGAAGGAAUUGUAUGUGUCAGGCAUGUACAAAAGUAUCAAAGCGCACCAAACCCUUUGCGAUGUGCUCAAAAAGCAGAUUUUGAACAGGAACCCGAGGAAAGAAGGAAUUGCCUUUGAGAGGAAAUUGAAUGCUAAUGGCUCAUAUUGGAAACCUGAGCACUACCCCAAAACCUCAUGGGUUGCUGCUAAAGGUCCUCCUGUUGAUCCAUCCAAUCUAACAGGCUUUGCAUGUGAAUUUUCCUAUUCCUUAGACGAGUCAUUUGACUCUAACUAUAAACUGUUCAAAUAUCAAUUUGGUGAAGUAUUUGCUCGAUACGUUGGAACAAACUGCAGGAAUGGACCACCCUUGAGGAAAAUCUGGGUCCCCAAGAGUUGCCUUGAAAAUCUUCAGGUGAAUGGCCUCAUGACACCACCUAUGAAGAAUUUGAACCCUAGAUCAAAUUCCUGAGGAGGACCAAAGUCUUCAAAAGGAUCAAAAUCCUCAACUGAUCAAAACCCCGUGCUAAUGCUUCAAAUAUGCACGAAAAUUACAAUGACAUGAAUAUAAGUAUUACUCUUCAAAUCAUUAUGUUCGUAAACCCUCAAAGAAUUUCUCUGCCUAUUCAUUUGAGUACUCUAACCCCCUACUGUGAAGAGAAGUGCAUUAGCUUCAAUGCCCCCUUUCUCAUAUGGUGCUCGCAAGAUGAUGAACUCUUUACCACCCCUUCAGAUGUGAGUGGUGAAGAAAUUGAACUAAUCACUUCUGCACGAUAGGUCUCCAGAUGAAAAUCAUCAUCUCAAGAAUUUACUAGAGACCUGAGGAAAAUGCUUGAUAGGACGCAAGCUAACAUUGAUGAAAUGAAAAACAUUUCAAACGUCCUCAUAAUUACUGUUUAUGAUGAAAUUCCUAUCUGAUGAAAUUGAUAUCAUAUUCUUCAAGUCUGAAGCAUAUGAGAUGGUAAGUUGUACUAAUUCAUCUGCAGGAUGACAAACCCAAGAGUAUUGAGUGGGUUCUUGAUAGUGGUUGCACACAAGACAUGACUGGUGACAAAAGCUUGCUGAUGAAUAUGCCACUGACUCCAUCACACCAGAAGCAAAUCACUUAUGCUGACAAAGGUAAAAGCAAGGUAUUGGGACUUGGCAAAGUGGCUAUUUCCAAGGACAGGCACAUGGACAAAGUGAUGCUUGUUGAAUCCCUUGGGUUUAACCUCAUGUCAGUCUCAAUGCUUUGUGAUCUUGAUAUGGUUGUUAUAUUUGGAAAAUAUAGAUGUGUUGUCAUCAUGGAAUCUGACAGAUCCAAAGUAUUCGAAGGUGUUAGAAGAGGGUAUUUGUACAUUGUUGAUUUCUCUACAGGUCCUCAACCAGCCACAUGCUUACUAGCAAAAACCUCAGAAGGGUGGCUAUGGCAUCGAAGACUUGGUCAUGCAGGCAUGAGGAAUUUGCACACGCUGGCGAAGAAGAAGCAUGUCAUCGGCAUCGAAUCAGUCAAAUUCCUCAAGGACCACCUCUUUGGUGCUUGUGAGUCUGGAAAAAUGACCAGAUCCAAACACCCCUCGAAGACUAUCAUGACUACUAGUCGUCCAUUUGAAUUGCUUCACAUGGAUUUAUUAGGACCUACUCAUUAUGCCACUCUAACAAAUUCAGCAUCUCUAUACGGCUUUGUUAUAGUUGAUGAUUACUCUAGAUAUACUUGGGUGCAUAUCAUUCUGUAUAAAACUGAAGUGUAGUAAGUCUUCAAAUGAUUUUCCUCAAGGGCCUCAACGAACUUCGCGGUCGAGAUCAAACACAUCAGGAGUGAUAAUGGAACAGAAUUCAAAAACACUGGUCUUGAUGAUUAUCUUGAUGAACUUGGUAUUACUCACUAAUUGUCUGCUCCUUAUACUCCUCAGCAGAAUGGCGUCAUCGAAAUAAAGAACAGGACUCUGGUUGAGAUGGCACAAACCAUGCUUGAAGAAUAUCAGACUCCUUGUCGUUUCUGGCCUGAAGCAAUCAACACUACUUUCCAUAUCAUCAACACGGUAUAUCUUCACAAAUUCCUCAAGAAAACCUCAUAUGAACUCCUCACUGACAAGAAACCCAAUGUAAAUUAUUUCAAAGUCUUCGGUGCAAAAUGCUGGAUUAGAGAUCCUCGCCAUAGCUCAAAGUUUGUACCUAAGGCACAUGAGGGUUUUAUGCUUGGUUACGGAAAGGAUUCGCACAUCUACAGAGUCUUCAACACCUAUCACAACAAGGUUGUUGAAACUGUAGAUGUGUGGUUUGAUGAAACUAAUGGCUCGCAAAGAGAGCAAUUGCCUCUUGAUCCAGAUAAGUUGUCGCAUGAGGAAGCAAUAAAGCUCCAAGCUACAGAAGACAUUGUUCCUACUGAGGAAAUUGCUGAAGAAAUCACUCCCAGCACUGAUGAAAAUCAAGAAGAUGCUCCUGAGGAAAUUGCUCCAGAACCAAUUCCUCAGCCCAGACGAAAUCCUCAAUCAGCUCAUCCAAGGAUUGCAAAUGAAGUAGAACUUGACAAAAUCCUCGAUGACAUCAAUGCGCCAGGUCCUCUCACUCGCUCAAAAGCUUCACAUUUAGUUAACUUUUGUGGGCAUUCUUCCUUUGUGUCUAUCAUAGAACCUUCAGAAGUUUCUCAGGCUUUCGUGGAACCUGAGUGGAUUCAAGCCAGGCAAGACGAACUUCUUCAAUUCAAGCUAAAUGACGUGUGGGAGCUCGUCAAACGACCAGAUCCUCGCAAGCACAAUAUCAUCAACACCAAGUGGAUUUUCCAAAACAAGCAAGAUGAGGAUGGUCAAGUGGUGAGGAAUAAGGCACGACUUGUAGCCCAAGGCUACACAUAGGUUGACGGAAUUGAUUUCGAUGAAACUUUUGCACCUGUUGCUAGACUUGAAGCUAUUCGAAUACUACUUGCUUAUGCUAAUCAUCAUAACAUUAUCUUAUAUCAAAUGGAUGUGAAAAGUGCAUUCCUCAAUGGCAAGCUUUAGGAAGAAGUAUAUGUNUUUUUGACAAAAUCCUAUGACAAUGAACUAUUUGUGUGUCAAAUAUAUGUCGAUGACAUCAUAUUUGGCUGUACUGACAAACGUUAUAGUGAUAAAUUUGCUUACAUGAUGAGUGAAAAAUAUCAGAUGACUAUGAUGAGGGAGCUGAAAUUCUUCUUAGGUCUCCAAAUUCGUCAACAACGCAAUGGGAUCUUCAUAUCACAGGAGAAAUACCUCAAGGACGUUUUGAGGAAAUUUGACAUGCAUGAAUGCAAAGGCGCCAAGACCCCCAUGCCUACCAACGGCCACCUCUACACUGAUGAAAAUGGUAAAGAAUUUUAUCAGCACGUAUAUCGCUCCAUGAUUGGCUCUUUACUGUAUUUGUGUGCAUCUAGGCCAGAUAUAAUGCUUAGUGUUUGCAUGUGUGCACGUUUUCAAGCAAAACCGAAGGAAUCACACCACAAGGUUGUGAAGCAUAUUCUUCGAUACUUAGCUCACACACCAACACUAGGAUUAUGGUACCCCAAGGGCUCAAAUCUUCAUCUUGUGGGGUAUUCUGAUUCUGACUAUGCUGGUGACCGUGUGGAUCACAAUUCAACUUCUGGCACUUGUCAUUUCCUCGGAAGAUCAUUAGUCUGCUGGUCCUCAAAGAAGCAUAACUGUGUUUCUCUCUCGACUGCCGAAGCUGAGUACAUUGCAGCUGGGUCAUGUUGUGCUCAAUUGUUGUGGAUGAAGCAAACCCUCAAGGACUACAGCAUCAACAUGAAGAAUGUGCCUCUCUACUCCGACAAUGAGAGUGCAAUCAAGAUUGCAUACAACCCAAUACAACAUUCGAAGACUAAGCACAUCGAGAUUCGUCAUCAUUUUCUUCGGGACCAUGUCCUCAAGGGCAAUAUCCUCAUCGACCAUGUGAAGGCUGAUGAUCAACUAGCAGAUAUUUUCACUAAGCCCUUGGAUGAGAAAAGGUUUUCCAAGUUGCUAUAUGAGCUAAAUAUCUUAGAAUCUUCAAAUGUUUUGUAAAAACAUGCACACAUCCUAACACUUAUGCAAAAUUGAUGACUUAGAUGUGCAACACACGAAGAAUCGAUUNNNNNNNNNNNNNNNNNNNNNNNNNNNNNNNNNNNNNNNNNNNNNNNNNNNNNNNNNNNNNNNNNNNNNNNNNNNNNNNNNNNNNNNNNNNNNNNNNNNNNNNNNNNNNNNNNNNNNNNNNNNNNNNNNNNNNNNNNNNNNNNNNNNNNNNNNNNNNNNNNNNNNNNNNNNNNNNNNNNNNNNNNNNNNNNNNNNNNNNNNNNNNNNNNNNNNNNNNNNNNNNNNNNNNNNNNNNNNNNNNNNNNNNNNNNNNNNNNNNNNNNNNNNNNNNNNNNNNNNNNNNNNNNNNNNNNNNNNNNNNNNNNNNNNNNNNNNNNNNNNNNNNNNNNNNNNNNNNNNNNNNNNNNNNNNNNNNNNNNNNNNNNNNNNNNNNNNNNNNNNNNNNNNNNNNNNNNNNNNNNNNNNNNNNNNNNNNNNNNNNNNNNNNNNNNNNNNNNNNNNNNNNNNNNNNNNNNNNNNNNNNNNNNNNNNNNNNNNNNNNNNNNNNNNNNNNNNNNNNNNNNNNNNNNNNNNNNNNNNNNNNNNNNNNNNNNNNNNNNNNNNNNNNNNNNNNNNNNNNNNNNNNNNNNNNNNNNNNNNNNNNNNNNNNNNNNNNNNNNNNNNNNNNNNNNNNNNNNNNNNNNNNNNAGAUGACCAGAAGGACACAUAUUUUCCAUACAUAGGAUUUUAAACCCCUAUUUCUAUUAUAAUUAUUUUAGUAAAACCCUGAAAACCAUUUCUGUCUAUUUUGACCUUUUGAAAUAUUUCCAAAGGAAAUAUUCUCAAUAAAAUCCUAGAAAAUUCCAGGGGUAUCCCUAAGCCAUAUUUGGUGUCCACAUAAAGUAUCCCUUUGAUCCAAGGUGAUUAAGGAGCCCAAAUAACCUAGAACCCCUUCUGUCCAGAUUGGAGUUAGAGCAACUCUACAUAGCAAAGUUUAUCCUAUGAUGCUGAAACUUUGCAGGAGUGCCUAAUACCUAGAAUGAGGGUUGCACACCAAAAUUGGGAUUUGUGGGACUUAGUUUUCCCACACUCUCUUUGGAAGGGACAGAUGUGGUCAAAUAGUGUCGUUUUCAAGUUUACAAAGCUAAACUUGUCCAAUCGAGCUCAAACUUGGUGAAACCUCAUGUUUUAGCACCAAACCCAAACAUGUUAAGUUGUAGCACCAGUGGUGGGGUGCAACCCCCUCAAAC
rnacentral:lncRNA from 1 species